rnacentral:lncRNA from 1 species
GUUUUUGAGAGUAUUGAAUAAAAUUUCCAGAAUUUCGUCCAUUCCUUGUGGCAAAUUCCCUUAGCUUGUAAAAGCUAAGUUGAACAUCCUAGAGUUGAUCCUAGGCUGUUCUUGACUUAUCAAUCAAGCACACAUACUUGAUUGUGGCGUCCUCUACCGUUAAAUCUGUUCUUGAGUGGUCCAAGUUCGGGUUCAACUCCGUAAAAUCUUCAUCGUGUUCCUCUAGAUCCGAAGUAGCUUCCGCGUCUCGCAUCAGCUGGCAUCAGAGCUAGUUAGAGGUAUCACGAAUAUCCUUUUUUAUCGUUUUUAGAUCUAUUUUAGUCUUCUAAAUUCGUAGCUCAAGUGCUCGGGUUUGUCAAGUCCGAAAUCUGUCUUUGUUGUUUCCUUGUCAGAAAUCUGUCUUGGUUGUUUCCUUGUCAGAAAUCUGUCUUUGUUGUUUAGUUGUUGUCCGAAAUUUUCUGUCCAGUUUUGUCUUGUGUUUAUGUUCUGUUUAAAUCCAGAAAAAAAAAAUCUCUUGUGUUGCAUACCUUAUUGUCAUUCCCUUGAGUCGUUGAUGGAAUUAAUUGCUGGGUUGCCGAAUCUGUUUGCACUUGUUUCUUGAACCUUUGUGCUGUUGCUUUGCAAAACUCGAACAUCAAAACCUUAUUGGGGAAGUCUUGAGCUUCUUGGAUCAAAGAGGUUAAUCUUGGCAGUCUUGAAACCUGAAAUAAACCUUCAACCGUGUUCUUGUUUUCAUGGAACUUUGAUCCUGAAACCAAAUCUGUCCAAGUUGUUUACGUUAAUUGCUGUGAAAUUGUGGUCUAAACUAGCUGGCUAUUGUGUGAAAACACCCCAACAGAAGUCAAAAAAAAAUUCAAGAAAGACGGCUCUAGUUUCCAAUUCUUGACCAGCCUUCAAGUUUUACCAAAUCUGAUUCAAAGGUCAAAAAAAAUUUUUUUCAAGAAAGUCGGCUCUAGUUUCCAAUUCUUGACCAGCCUUCAAGUUUUACCAAAUCUGAUUCAAACUUGGACUUUCAAAUCUGAACAGCCCUAGUCUUGGUCAGCCUUCAAGCCACCAAAUCUGAUUCAAACUUGGACUUCCAAAUCUGAACAACAUCCAAUUCUUGACAGCCUACAAGUUUACCAAAUUUGGUGCAAAAUCUGACUUCCAAAUCUGACCAGCCCCAAAAUUUCGAAUUUGGACCACUUGGGACUCCCAAAUCUGACCAAACUCCAAGGUUUCCAAUCCUUGGCAACCCCAAGUGUCCAAAUCAGAUCAAACUUUCCAAUUUCCGAAUCUUGAAUUCUUGAAUUUUCCUAAAACCGUUGGAGCAAUUGUGACACCCGAUUGGGCUGAGUUUUAGAUAGUAGAUUGCCCAUUAUUUGAGUAGCCUAAGGCCACCCAAAAUACUCCAAAACCCAUACCAAAAAGACCACGGACCAGCAGCUCAACAAAUUCCAGAAAAUUGGGUUUCGGGUAGAGUUUUCUAGGAUUUUCAAAAUUUCAGCAUUCAAGUUAAUUGUCUUACUUUCUUUUGAGUCGUUAGUUAUUGUCCAGCUAUAUUCUGAGUCUUGAGUCGUGUCUAGGUCAUCAGUCAUACACCUCCAUUUAUUUCUACUAGCUUGUGUGUCACUUGUUGACUAGUCAAGAACGUAUACUGCGGUAACACCUAGUUUGUUCAACCAAGCAACUAGCAAGCCAAGGAAUUGCUUGGUAAGAUUAUUAGAGAGUGAUACACUUGAGUGAAAUACGAGUGUGAGUGACCUAUACAUCGUAUUUAAAAAAAAAAAAAAAAGAGAGCAAGGAACUCGUUUUUGUUUAUUUAUUUUGCAGGUGGACUAAAUAUGUCUAGUGAAGUUGGUGAACAAACCAUGGACAUCAAACUACAAUUGUAAGCCAUGUGUGGGAGGAAAAUUCCUUUGCACUACUAACCGUUUUGCAGGUCACAUAGUCAUGGCCACUAGAGUUGCAUCUUGCUCAUACAAUCAAGAAUUCAUGGAGACCGAACCUUUCAAGAGGAGAGGUCCCAAGCGAAGUACCUCCAAGUACUUUAGCCCCAUGCAAUCCAGUUCACAAUGUGGGUAUCAUUCACUCCGGGAGGAGAUGCAACGCCACCGUGCUUUGUGUGUGUAUGAAAGGUAUAAACAAGAUUGUGAUGAGUAUGAGAAGGAGCAAAGCAGUUUGCGUAGAGCAUCUAAAUCAAGGUCAACUUCAAGCAAACAAGGUUCAUCUAAGAAGUGUCUUGACAAUCAAGACGAAGGGCUCGAGAAUUUUCGAAUUGAGUCAAAGCUUCGUGAAUCAAUGGAUAAAUUUGAACGUCGGACUGAAGCAUUGAUUGAUGAUAUGAUGGAAAGACUUAGCCAAGUGCUGGAUUCACACCUGGAGCAACUUAACCAUGUGCCAACCGGUGGUAAUAAAGGGAAAAUUCAUCCUAGUCCCUCGUUGAUUGAAGAGCCAAAUAUGAAUGAGUUACAACUGAGCCAUGAACAUGAGCUAGACAAUGAAAAUCAAACCUCAUGUACAAUGCGUGAGCAAUGGUCCGAGAAGAAUGGAGUGGAAAAAGACAAGAAUAAUUUGGCCUUAGUGAAGAGUAAAAAGGAGGAGUUGGCCGUGUUUACAAAGGCUGAAAGUGUGACCAUUUUGUUUGCUAACCGGCUAACAUGUGUUUUGUUUAGCACCUCUUCUUUUGUUCAAGUUACACAAAGUCAAGUAGAGUUGAUCAUGGCAUGUUCCAUCCCGAAGUCACUUGGACACUUUGCGAGUUUCCAUGGAAUUGGUCUUCUAGGAACUAAAUCUCUUUGGUAUCAAUUCAUGGAACAAUGUCCAUUCAAAUCUGUCCGCACCAUUGGAGGAUUCAUUCGAGCUCAUCUUAAAAGGGAAAUUCCAGAAUCUACUUCUUGUUCUUUACCUAUGUGUCAAGGACUAGCACUGGAAUCUCAAGUUGAAUCAAUUGGUGGAAGGAAUAUCGAAGUGUCAAAGGGAGUUUUCUCAUUUAAAUCUCGUUCUACACCUUCUUACCAUCUAGCUAAUAAUGUCCCAUUAGUCCUUUACCCGAUUUCUGAAUUGCUCCAAGUUGAAGGUUAUUUCGUUUUCAUAGGUUGUAACGCUGUCCACAAUUUUCCAACUACGGCUAAAGACUUGCAACCCGAUUUCGUGCUUAUCCCUGCUGCAAGUGGUGCACGUUCGUGCUUCUUCACAUGUCCAAAAGCUAGUCACCACGAGCUUACUUCACCAACCCCAACUUGUGCAAAUUCAUGCGAUUCGUAUGGAGUGCAUUUCACUUCAUUGCUGCCACUUAUGUCACGUGACAAUAAGACAAUCCAUGGCCGAAGGUUGAUUAGAGAGCUUUGGAUUGCUACCUGGAAGUUUCGUGAGCCUUACACAAGCUUUUUCCUAUCUUGGCGCAUGUCCUUGUUUGAGGGCCUCAUGAAACUGACCAAACGGCAUUUAACUUGGCUCGUGACCUUUCAUUUGUUCCCAACGUGGUUGACCUCCAAACGCACUGUCGACAUCCCCAUCUAGAUUUGAGGACAAAUCCUUUUCAAGAGGAGGGGAAUGAUGCGGUGGAGCACGAGGCCCAAAGUGUACAAGUAGACCCUGUGAAGGUGCCCCAAGGCCCAGUGACACGAGCACGAGCUAAGAGAUUCAAGGAGUCCCUCCAAGCCUUGGUACGUGCCAUCCAAACCCAAGAGAAACCGGGCAUUGAAGGAAUUGAGUUGGAAUAUCCUUGCACGACUACUAAAAUGCUGCUUACAAUUGAAGAUGCGAGUGUUCAAGCUCCAAACGGCGGGCUGAGCCCCGAAGCUUAUGAUCUAUAGUUAGUUGGGCUAGCUUUCGGUCAAGUAUAGGCCCAAGGGGCUGGCCGAACUUUCCUUGUUAUUUUUCCAGGUUAUUAGGUCUUAGUUACGGCUAUUAAUAGCCUCAAGCCGCAUGUUACAUUCAGUUUUUGAGAGUAUUGAAUAAAAUUUCCAGAAUUUCGUCCAUUCCUUGUGGCAAAUUCCCUUAGCUUGUAAAAGCUAAGUUGAACAUCCUAGAGUUGAUCCUAGGCUGUUCUUGACUUAUCAAUCAAGCACACAUACUUGAUUGUGGCGUCCUCUACCGUUAAAUCUGUUCUUGAGUGGUCCAAGUUCGGGUUCAAUUCCAUCAAAUCUUCAUCGUGUUCCUCUAGAUCCGAAGUAGCUUCCGCGUCUCGUAUCACUCGUGUCGUUCGUUUUGGUUUUAGGUCCUGCAAUCCAAGCAUUGGACAACCUCACUAGAUCCUUCGGCAAACGGGCUACGUAUCUUGAAACGUGUUGAUCGAGGAGCGUAUCAGUUGGUAUCAGAGCUUAGGUGGAGGUAUCUUUCAUUAUAUCCUUGUUUUUCGUAGUUGUGUCAUUAGGGUUUUGUGUUAUUUCCGGUGCAUUAUUCCAAAAAAAAAAUAAUUCUGUCAGUGUCGUUUUUGGUUCUUGUUGUUGAGUCUUGUUUCUAAUCUGUCCGUCUUUGUUGUGCCUUGUUAAAAAAAAAAAGGGAGAACAAAUUCUGACCAUUAGUUGUUAUUGUUGUUGCACAGUAAUCUGUCCAAGUCGUGUUGCUUUAUCACUUAAAAAAUCUAUCGUGGUUUGUGUACACUUGGAACGUACAAAAAAAAUUCUGGUUGUGUUCCCAAAUCUGUCUUGGUUGUUAGUCAUCACUUGAGCAACAAGAAAACAAGUAGGGCGGUGGCUAGGGUUUCGUUUGUGCGGCUAGGGUUUUUUUUUCCUCUUCGUUACAAAUCUGUCCAAGUUCGUUGUGAGUCAUCCAAGUUGUUUCACUUAAUUUUCAAAUCUGAUUUGUGGUUAAAUUUGUUGAUACUUGCGAAUCUUGAAGAGAACCUAGAAGAUUUUAGGGUUUCUUGAAGUUCUUGACUACUACCUUGAAGUUCUUGAAAUUCUUGAUACGUAUCUUGCUAGUUCUUGAAGGAUUGUGGUUGUGCAUUUGUGCGAAUUGAGGGGCUGAUCGAAUGAUACGGUCCUCGAUCAACUCGUUUCGAGACACGCAGCAUGCUUGCCCAAGGAUCUAGUGAGGUUGUCCAACGCUUGGAUGGCGGAACCUAAAACCAAAAUGGACAACACGAAUUGAUUGAAGGUGGUAGAACGACGACUCCAAUCGAGGUGAAUACUCUAGAUAGGUCGGUAGAACAAUACGCAAGAUUGCUCAAGAACCCUUGCCAAGCAAGUUAAGGUUCGAAUACUCUCAAUAAUUUGAAGAGAAAACAAAUCAGAAUUUUAUUAUCAAAAUUGUGUUCCUUUAACCGUACAAAGCGAGCCUUUAUAUAGGCUAAGGGACUAAUGAAAACCUAAGAGAAAUAGGUAAGGGGGAUUCAGCCACUUCUUGGACAAGGUGGGCCGGCCUAUGACUCAAUAAACAAUUUAAUCUAACUCUAAACAAUUGAAACCUAGCACUAAGGCCUAAGGCCUAGUCGGCCAUCUCACUUGGGGGCCCACUUGACUUUUCAUGGUUUUGGAUCAUCGUGUAGACAACUUGAUUAUCCCCUUCCAAGCCUUCAAUGUCCCUAUAGACUCCUUGUUGGUCUUGAACAUUUCGCGCAAGGGCUUGGAGUGACUCCUUGAAGCGCUUGGCCCGUGCACGUGUGACUGGGCCCAAUGGAAUUCGAACUGGGUCAUUAUUUGGGCUAAGGUUCGUGCACACAUCAGUCCCCUCCACUUGAGAAGGAUUUGUCCUCAAAUAUGGAUCAUCGUCCUCAAGGAACGGGCUCAAGUCCGCAGCAUUGAAGGUCACGCUAACAUUGUACUCCCCAAGUAGCUCCAAUUUGUAAGCGUUGUCAUUGACUCGUUGGAGCACUCGAAAUGGGAAACAGAUUGCAGCCACUCUUCAUUUGACUCAAUAGUUUGAGGAUGAUCUUCAUGUUUGCAUCAUUCCCCUCCUCUUGAAAGCGAUUUGGCCUCAAAUUGACGGUACGCUUAGAGGACAACCACGUUGGAAAGAAAUGAAGGGUCACGAGCCAAGUUAAGUGCCGUUUGGCCAGCCUCAAGGGGCUCUCAAACAAGGACAUUCACCAAGGUAGGAAAGAACGUGCAUAAAACUUGCGAGAAUUCCAGGUUGCAACCCAAAACUCUCUAUUUAGCCUGCGAGCAUGGACUGUCAUGAUGUUACCUACACAACAAAUCACAUAGUGAGUAGUCAUAGGUAUAGAACAAAUGCAAUGGCUUACCAGUCACGUGUACAAGAUAAGGAUCUUCAUUGAAGCUAGAGAAAUCCUGAAUCGGGUUGUACAAGGUGGUAUAGUUCGGCCCUUCUUCGCAACAUGUAGUUGGAACAAGCAUGAAAUCAGGUUGCAAUUCUUUGGUCAAGGCUGAAAAUUUUCGGACAACUUUACCUACAAAAAUGAAAUAAGUUUCAGCUUGUGUCGAACCAGAAAUUGGAUAAAGAAGCAAUGGGACAUCAUUAGUUAAAUGGUAAGAAGGUGUAGAACAAGAUUUAAAUGUGAAAACUCCCUUUGACACUUCAACGUGCCUUCCACCACUUGAUUUAACUUGAGAAUCUAGUGCGGGUCCUCUACGCUUCUCAUCAAAAUCUACAUAGGAAUGACAAGAUUUAGGACGAGUAACAUGCUCAAAAUAAGCCAAAAAUGAUGAAUGACCCAUCGGUAAAGAAUAAGAAGUGAAAUCUGGAAUUCCCCUUGUAAGAUGAGCUCAAAUCAAUCCUCCAAUGGUGUGGACAUGUUUGAGUUGACAUGGUUCCAUGAAAUGAGACCAAAGAGAGUUAGCUCCUAGAAGAUAAACUCCAUGGAAACUCGCAAAGUGUCCAAGUGACUUGGGAAUGGAACAUGUCAUGACCAACUCUACUUGACUUUGUUUAAUCUGCACAAAAGAAGAGGUACUAAACAAAACACACGUUAGCUUGUUAGCAAACAAAACGUCCACACUUUCAACUUUUGCGAACAUGGCCAACUCCUCCUCUUUACUCGUCAAUAAGGCCAAAUUAUUCUUGCUUUUACCCACUCCAUUCUUCUCAGACCAUUGUUCAUUCAUUGCACUUGAGUUUGGAUUUUCAUUGUCUAGCUCAUGUUCAUGGCUCGGCUGCAACUCAUUCGUAUAUGGCUCUUCAAUCAAUGAGGGACUAGGAUGAAUUUUCCCUUUAUUACCACCGAUUGACACAUGAUUAAGUUGCUCCAAGUGGGAAUCCAGCACUUGGCUAAGUCUGUCCAUCAUAGAAUCAACCAAGGCUUUAGUCUGACUUCGGAAUUCAUCCUUUGAUUCACGAAGCUUUGACUCAAUUCGAGAAUUCUCAAACUCCUUGUCUUGAUUGUCAAGACACUUCUUAGAUGAAUCUCGUUUGCUUGAGGUUGACCUCGAUUUAGAUGCUCUGCACAAACUUCUUUGCUUCUUCUCAUACUCAUCACAAUCUCGUUUAUACCUUUCAUAUACACAUGAAGCACGGUAAUGUUCCAUCUCCUUCCGGAAUAAACGAAACUCUUGUUGUGAACUAGAUUCCAUGGAACUAGAGUGCUUGGGAGUAGGCCGCUCGGAACCUCUCCUCUUGAGAGGCUCAUUCUCCAAGAAUUCUUGGUUGUAUGAGUAAGAGGCAACUCCCCUAGACAUGAUUACGUGCCUGCCAAAAUGGUUAGCAAAGAAAAAGAGAUUCCUCACGACACACAAGCUCACGUGUAUGUGCUCAUCACUCGUGUAUCACUCAAAGCACUCAAAUAAGCUUACCAAAAUUCCUUACCUGUCGGAUUGAGUAGUUGAGAAAUACUGCGCAAAAAUCCAAAAAUUGUUCCCCAAACUUUCCACAAGAGUAACCAAGAAAACAAGACACAGAUGGGAUGUAAAAUGGAACAAGGAUGCAUGGUUUGGAAGCUUUCUAGUGGCGGACAGAAAUGGAAACUAGCGCUAGUGUGAAAAGGAAGCCAACGAAACCCUAAUUCCUAAAAUGUAGGAGUGUGUCCAAGUGGAAAUAAAAGAGUUAUCCAAGAAGCCUACUUAGUUUCCUAAAUAAAUUUGGAAAACAAGUUAGUUUUGGAACCUUUUAGAAAACCUUUUCCUUUCUCAAAUAACUUUAGAAACUUCCCAAAUUCCUUUCCAAAUAGGAUUCCCCUAGAAAAUGUCGGUUCUCUCCCCAAGAACCUCUUCCCAAGUCGGUGGAAGUUGGCUUAUUAAAGCCCUCCACUCAAGCCGUCACUUGCACACACACAAAUACCAAGCACAAUUCAGAUUUUUCUGGUUUUAGUGCUCAAGGCAAUUUUGGCUAUUGUGCAAGACAAUGGAGUCUCAAUAAGAAGGUGCAAGCAAUCCUACUCAAGCUCCCCCCCCAAUGGGUUACUCAAGAUUUUCCCAAGAAAUUUACUCCCAAGCCAAGGAAACCCUUCACCACCGCAAGGGAGUACAAAAAGAUGUUUACUCGAAAGGUGAAACAAGCUCCCAGGAAACAAGAAAUUCAAGAACUCCAAGAGGUGGUGGAUCAAAACUUUUGAAUAUUUUCCUUUUUUUGUGUGAGUUUUCUGUUUUGGGGGUAGAAAACACGAUGUAAGAAACUGAUUUGGCAAUAAAAUUCAACUUUUCCUUGUUUUUCUUGGUAAUCGAAGGCGCCCCUCUCUUUUCUUUUUUUUUUCGUUUCUAUUUUUUUUUUUACUCAAACGGACGAACACAAACUUCACUUGGCCGAAAGGAUGCAAGUUUCCAGCUUUGGUUUCGGCUAAAACAUGCAACAAUAAUUGACUUCCCUCAAGAACUUCCAAGAUACUUGUCAAGAAUUUCAAGAACUUCAAGAUGGUAAUCAAGAAAUUCAAGAAGCCCUUAAAUCUUGUAGAUUCCCUCAAGAUUCACAAACCACCAACUAGUUUUACCAAAAAUUCAGUUUUGAAAAUUAAGCAAACAACUUGGAUGAAGCAAACAAAACUUGGACAGAUUUGAAACGAGAGAAACCCUAGCACGACAAGAAACCCUAGCCGCCGCCCCACUUGGUUUCUUGUUGCACAAGUGAUGACUAACGACCAAGACAGACUUGGGAACACAACCAGAAAUUUUUUUUGUAUGUUCCAAGUGUACACAAACCACGACAGAAUUUUUAAAUGAUAAAGCAACACGACUUGGACAGAUUACUAUGCGACAACAACAACAACUAACGGUCAAAGUUUGUUCUCUUUUUUUUUUUUUUUAUAACAAGGCACAACAAAGACGGAUAGAUUAGAAACAAGACUCAAUAACAAGAACAAAAACGACAUGGAUAGAAUUUUUUUUUGGAAUAAUGCAGCGAAAAUAACACAAAACCCUAACGACACAACUACGAAAAACAAGGAUAUAACGAAAGAUACCUCCACCUAAGCUCUGAAGCCAACUGAUACGGUCCUCGAUCAACUCGUUUCGAGACACAUAGCAUGCUUGCCCAAGGAUCUAGUGAGGUUGUCCAACGCUUGGAUGGCAGAACCUAAAAUCAAAACGGACGACACGAAUUGAUUGAAAGUGGUAGAACGACGACUCCAAUCGAGGUGAAUACUCUAGUGCAUAGGUUGGUAGAACAAUCAAGGACAAUACGCAAGAUUACUCAAGAACCCUUGCCAAGCAAGUUAAGGUUCGAAUACUCUCAAUAAUUUGAAGAGAAAACAAAUCAGAAUUUUAUUAUCAAAAUUGUGUUCCUUUAACCGUACAAAGCGAGCCUUUAUAUAAGCUAAGGGACUAAUGAAAACCUAAGGGAAAUAGGUAAGGGGUUUCGACCACUCCUUGGACAAGGUGGGCCGGCCCAUGACUCAAUAAACAAUUUAAUCCAACUCUAAACAAUUGAAACCUAGCACUAAGGCCUAAGGCCUAGUCGGCCAUCCCACUUGGGGGCCUACUUGAUUCUUCAUGGUUUUGGAUCAUCGUGUAGACAACUUGAUUAUCCCCUUCCAAGCCUUCAAUGUCCCUAUUGACUCCUUGUUGGUCUUGAACAUUUCGCACAAGGGUUUGGAGUGACUUCUUGAAGCGCUUGGCCCGUGCACGUGUGACUGGGCCCAAUGAAAUUCGAACUGGGUCAUUACUUGGGUUAAGGUCCGUGCUAAGAGUCAGCAUGGAAAAUACUUUUUGCAUGAUGGAUUUUUAUUCUAUGUGGACAAGUUGUGUGUGCCUAAUUCGUCUAUUCGUGAUCUUUUGGUUAGAGAGGCAUAUAGUGGUGGUCUCAUGGGACAUUUUGGCAUUGUUAAGAUGUUAGCAAUGUUGCAAGAACACUUUUACUGGCCUCAUAUGCGUAGGGAUGUUGAACGCAUGGUUGGUAGAUGUGCCACUUACCACACAGCCAAGUCUAAAACAAAUUCAUAUGGCUUGUAUACCCCAUUGUCCACUCCACAUUAUUAUUGGGUAGACUUGUCUAUGGAAUUUGUCUUGGGAUUACCUAGAUCACCAAGGGGUAAUGACUCCAUCUAUGUGGUAGUUAAUAGAUUCUCAAAGAUGGCUCAUUUUAUCCCUUGUCAUAAAACUGAUGAUGCAUCUCAUAUUGCUAACUUGUUCUUUAAAGAAAUUGUACGCUUGCAUGGUGUGACGCCCCGAAAAGAAUGAGUGUGAGAACCCGAAAAUUUUCUAAUUUUCUAGGGUUUAUUUUAUUUAAUCGCCCGUCUUUUCUACAUUUUCUUUAUUAGAAAAAUUCCCCAGAUAAAGUUUAUGAGCAAAGAUAGUUUUAAAAUGAUUUUUCUAGUAUCGGUUAGUUUUUGAGAAAUUAAGAGCGUAUUUUGGACGUGGGACCCGCUAGUGCGGUAAAUGCAUUAUAUUUUUGACAACUUGUUGGAAUUUUGUAUUAAGUGAUAUUAUUUUACAAAGUGUUAAGAUAUUUGUAUUGGAGAGACAAAAAGAUAAGUUUUAAACCAAAAAGGUGACAAGUGUCACCUUGUGAUUUAAUCUUGGAUUUGACCAUUAUUUCUUACCUUUACUAAUACUCAAUUUUGACCCAAAAAUCAUCCUAUUUCUAUGCUUCAUGGCCGGCUCUCUCUCAAAAGAAAAGAAGAAAAAUCUCUCAACUUUCUAGCUUCUCAUCUCACUCAAUCUUCAAUUCCAACCGAUUAAACUUGAAUUUACUCCAUAAAACCUCUUAGUUUGGUGGAGUUGAGCUUGGUUGUGAAGUUGUUUGGAAAGCUAAGGUGACCAAUAGCUCUCUCUCUCUUGGUUUAAGGUGAGUUGUGAAGAACCACUUUCCUUCCUCUAAUGAUGUUCAAUUCAUGAUUGGUGGUGGUAUAAGAUGCACUUUUAUGGAUUAUAUCUUGGUUUUGGUUGAAUUGGUGAAGUUUUAUAAUUAUUGGGAAUUUUUCUGUUUUCAUAUGAAUAUGAUUAUGUGGUCAUGUAUGAUGAUUGGAAAUGAUGUUUAAGGACUCUAUGAGGUGGAAAAGUGGUAAAUUGCAAUCAAUUUCUGUUUUGGAAGAAAUCUUGGAAAGUUAGGGUUUGAUGUUCUUCAUUCUGCCCGAAUUUGUAGCUCCUAGUUAGAGGCCGAAUUGGCCUUGGCUUAAAACAUGAAAGUUGUAGGAAAUGAUAUUUUAGAGGUGCCUGCAAAGUUUCAGGUCAAUCGGAGUAGUUUAGAAUGAGAAAAGUCGAAAUUACUAUUGCUGUUCUGGUUUUACCCGAAUGUAAGAAUUGCUUCUGUAAUGGGUUGUUUUGGCUGGAAUUGCUUCUGAAUUGGUUGUUGAGGUCUUCUGAUGAAAUUUAUCCCUGUUUCUUAGCUUUCAGCUGGUUUUGGAAUUUCUGGAUUUGGACUUGGAUAGCCUGUUUUAUGAUGUUUCCGCUAGAAUGCGUUCUGUGAAUCUGUUUUUGUGAUUCUGGUAUGGUAUCUUGCAUUUUUGACCUAGUUACACUCGAAACUGGGUUGAGUGACCUUCUGCAAUAUUGUAGCCCUAUCUCUUAGCUUCGAAACGGUGGGUCUUUCACCUUUAUUCGACAAUCGUAGCGCCUUUGGUACCAUUACCGUAAAAUGACGUCAAAACCUGUUUUUCUGGUUUUGAGCUUAACUUUCAUUUCCGGACUUUUCCCUAGCUUGACUUGUACUAGUACUACUUGGAGCUUGCUGAAUGGCUAUUGGAUGAACUUGUUGUUGUGUGUGUACCUUUGGGUUGGAAUGAGGAAAUAAUGAAGUCAUGAUGGCUGGAAAAGUUAGCAAAUUCAGGGGAAGUGCUGUCCGAACUUUGAAGGGAUUUGUUUGCAUUGAGUUUGUGAUCUAAGACUUGGAUUUGAGCAAGGCAAUGUUAUAUGCUGGAUGAUUUCUGAGCCGUGGAGGCGAGUGACCCUAAACUAUUUCCAAAGUACUUGUGAAAUGUUUCUUGCAUUAUGUACUUGAUUGCAUAUCAUGCGUGCUUGCAUGUGAGUUCAUAACAUGAUUUGGCUUCAAUGAGUUCUGGGAAAGUCUUGUGCUGGACACCAACGUCUCCACUCUGUUUAUGGUUCAUGUUCAUGUUUAUCUGGAGCUCAAGAAGGGGCUCCCUCUUAAUGUUAAUGUUAAUGUUAAAUGAUCUAUUUGAGCGUUGGGUGUUCAAGUGCUAUGAUUUCCCUGGCUCAUGAGAGCACUAAACGAACAUUUGAUCUCUGAAUCAUGACAUCAUCGAAAUGAUCGAAAUGCAACAUUGUGAAAUAUAUUUGUUUAAGGAUUUUACUGGUUACUCGCUGAGCUUCUAGCUCACCCCAAAAAUAUUUUAUUCCCCUCCACAGGGCUCAAAGCGAAGGAAGGUCUUGUUGUGCUUAUUCACAUGUCUGGAUGGCCUAUAUCUUGUACAGUUUGGAUUUGGAAUCAUUUUAGGUAUAGUUGGGAAUUAUUUCCGCUUUGCUUUUGACAUGUAAUUAUUGGAGAAUUUGAUGUAAUAUUUGAGUUUUAUCUUGUAAUCUGUUUGAGGAUUGUAGUGAACGACUGAGUCCCGGCGUGAGUUGGGCAGGCGGCCCGCCGAACCCUUUGGUUCGCCUUAGGGGGAGGUGGGGCUGUCACACAUGGUAUGCCUCAAACCAUUGUUAGUGAUAGAGAUGUGAAGUUUUUUAGUUACUUUUGGAAGACUUUGUGGUCUAAACUUGGCACUAAAACUAUUAUUUUCGACCACAAGUCAUCCCUAAAGCGAUGGACAAACUGAGGUAGUCAAUCGGACAAUUGGUACUUUACUCAGGGCUUUGAUUAAGAAAAAUAUCAAAUCUUGGGAAGAGUAUUUGCCCCAUGUUGAAUUUGCUUAUAAUCGAACUGUUCAUAGUGCAAUACACUACUCACCAUUUGAGAUUGUUUAUGGCUUUAACCCCCUGACCCCACUUGAUUUGGCGCCCUUACCUUCCUCUAAGCAUACAGGCUUAGAUAGAAAAAAGAAAGCUGAUUUUGUGCACAGGUUACAUGAAACUGUUUGAGCCAACAUUGAGAAGCGUACUCAGCAAUACAUCCAGCAAGCUAACAAGCAUCGUCGUAAGAUGAUUUUCGAACCUGAAGAUUGGGUUUGGCUGCACUUGAGGAAAGAAAGGUUUUCCAAGCAACGCCAAAGCAAGUUGUCCCCAAGGGGUGAUGGACCUUUUCGAGUGCUUCAACGAAUCAAUGACAAGGCAUACAAGCUGGAGCUACCUAGGGAGUACAACGUGAGCCCGACUUGCAAUGUCACGGACUUUAGCCCAUUCCUUGACGAGGAGGAUCCAAAUUUGAGGACAAAUCCUUCUCAAGUGGAGGGGUCUGAUGUGUGCAUGGACCCUAGCCCACGUGAUGAUCCAGUUCGAGUCCCAUUGGGUCCGGUUACACAUGCACGGGCUAAACGCUUCAAAGAGUCACUUCAAGCCCUUGUUCGAAGUGUCCAAGAUCAACAUGGGAUUCAUAGGAACAUUGAGGGCUUGGACGUUGCAGGCCAAGACACCUGCAUAUUGCUCCAAGCCCAUGAAGAGCCAAGUGGAGACCACGACUUCACUAAGUAGAGUCGGCCCAACUGUUUAGGCCUCUAACUGCGAGUUGUUAGCCAUCGAGUCAAUGUUUAGAUUAGUUACUAGUUUGUUACCUUGUUGGAGUCAUGGAUUCGGCCCACUUAUAUCCCAAAGGUGGCCGAAUGUGAGAACCUGAAAAUUUUAACAUUUUUUAGGCAUUAUUUUAUUUUUGCCUACAUUUUUAUACUUGCCUUUAAAAUAUUAAAGUUUCUAUUCAUUUUUAUAAGUAAGUACAAUUUUAAAUCAUUUUCCUUGUGAGACCCCAGUCAGUUCUUAAGUUUGAUAUUAGGGUUAUAUUCAUUAUUUGUGCGGUAACAUUUGGUUUUGGGACUACUUCGAAAAUCCUAAGUUGGGGUUAGGAUUGAAACCCUAGUUUUUUUUUUGUAUUAAUUAUACGUUCGAGUGGUGAUUAAGUUAGUUAUGCUAGUGUGUGUUUUAGUGCGGGUAAGUAUAGGAUUUGAUCCAUUUUAGAUAGGUUAAGUGAGUUUAAAAGUUAGGAAAAUCCUAAACUAGAAAAGUUUCUAAGUUUAAAUCCCUAAUUUUGCCCUUGACAAAAAGGUUGUUAUUUAAUUGCUUUUAUGUGAGAUAAAGUAUGCUUAAGUAUAGGUGAUUAAGGUAGGAAAGUGGUUAGUGAAGUAAUUAAGUGUGAUUACAUGUUUUGGACUAGACUAAGUUAUGACAUAUGGAGUUAAUUGAAAGAGUCCAAAAUGUUUGAGGGCAAGAGUGGAACUAAAGCUAAGUUGAAGUGUAAGGGUUAAAAAGUAAAUAAGGUAUUUUUAUGUGAUUGGUGGAGAGAGAAAAUAUCUUCUUACACUUUGACCAUCUUAUAUAUAUCAUAGGAUUGCAAGAUUGUCAUAAGAAAACAAAACAAAAUAAGAAAGAAAAGAGAGGGAGAGAGAGCCGAGAGAGAGAGCAACCAAGGAGAGGAAAUUUCCUUCAAAAUUCUUCAAUUUCUAGCUUCCAUCUUGUAGUUGGAGCUUAAGGGAAACAACUUGGGGCCUUGUUGUGGUAGCUUUCUUCAUUUACAAAGCUCUCUUGAAGGUAAAACAUCUUUCUUUGAAGUUAAAGUUUGGUGAUUAAGUUUUGAAGUCAUGUAAGUGAAGUUUUGUUGUGAUUAUGUAUUUUUAUGGGUUGUAUGAUAACUUUUGAGUAGUUUAAUGGUUAAUUUUAGUGAGUUAUUGCUGCUGGAAUUUCGGUCAAGAGAUGAAAGAAUUAGGGUUUCUUGUUAAACAUUUUAGUUAGCUCUAAUCUUGUGUUAUUGAACUUGUAGUGGUUGUGUUUGAUGAUUGGUUUCAUUGGUUUGGUGAGUGAGUGGUAAAAACUGAUUUGGGUUAAGAAACCCUAGGCUUCCUUAGGUUGGUUUAGCUUGGCUAAUGUUUAGUUAGUUAGGGUUUGGUUAGUAAGUUGUUAGAUUAAGUUUGGUAAUGCAAAUAAAGUUAGUUUAAGGAUCAUGGUUAGUUUUGGCAAUUUUGUAGUGGCUUAGAGGGAAAACUUCAGACCAAUUGUAGGUCAUUUAGAAGUUAGUAUAUGUGUGCUUAGUUGGUAUGAAUUUGGUUGGAAACCUUGUAUAAGAACCAUAGAAAUGAACCAUGCGUUUGCGACAUUGGAAACUGGCAAAACGGGUAACCAGGGCAGUUCAGCAUCUGAACUUCGGUUCCAUUUUUCUUGAUGUUACGUAUGGAUUCAGAGUUUUCCCAAAACAUGAAAGUUGUAUCCCAUUAAGUCCUUAUUGUUCUUGCAAAAUUUCAGCCCAAUCCGAUCAGUAGAUCCUGAGUUAUGGCCAAAAUCUUUACUUCUGUUCUAAACCCAGGAUUUUGCUACGUUUCUGGGUUUUGCCUCUGACCAUGUUUUGUCUGUCUAGAUAAUGUGUGAACUGGCCCUUCAUAAGAAAUUUAGAUCUUGGUCUUAGUUUCGAAAUGGUAUAAAGUUCAUCCAAAUCCGAGUCCCGUAGCUCCAGUUAUGACCAAAACAAGAUCGGUUGUCAGAACUGCCUUCGAAUUUGGACAGUUCUGACAGGGAUGUUUGGACCCGUUUUUCUCCAUGCUCUGUAUUGAUUCAGCCUUUGGUCCAAACAUGAAAGUUAUAGCUUUAUGAAUGAUCUUUCUAACGCCUCUGGAAUUUCUUGAUUCCGAUUUCUGAGCCGUGAGUUACGGUCUGUCAAACAGGGCCUGUUUGGUAAACCAAAAUGAAAUGGCUGGAACUAUUUUGUGCAUUUUUGACCAAUACCUAUUGAGAUCUGGGUUGAGAUGUUUAAAUAAAAGUUGUAGCCCUUCUUCAUAGCUUCGAAACAGUGUCUCACCCACCUUGAUCCGAUAUUCCUAGCCUAACUUUUGAUCAAAACGGCUUGAGAUGGCGGAUUUGGCCGUUCCGUGUGCCGUUCCGCGCGCGCGCGUGUGUCCAACUUGCCGUUUCCGCACUUGCACGUGCCGAUUUUGCCGUUUUGUUUGUUUUGGGCAUGUUAGUAGCCGUUUGUGAUAUAACGUGAUGCAAUCUUCUAUUUCAGACCGUGGUGAGUUAGGCGGAGCCGGUGGGGCCUACUACUAGCUAAAACACACGAAGUGAUUUCCACUCUUGUACUACUUUUGUGUUUUGGGUAAGUAUUCAGGCCAUUUUGUGUAUAACUUGCUUGUGUUUAAGGUGAAUGAAAGGGUACCUAGGCGAGGGUGUACUUCAUCGCACUCGACCUAAACCCUAAUUUACGUGCAUAUUUAUACCGGACAUGUCUAAAUGAAUUAUUUUGGGUUUGAACCCCUUGAGCUUGGAGCUCGGGGUGACUUUCGUGAGUUCGUGAAAUAUGUUGAAGUUGUGGGCCCGAUCUCAAGACCUAGAUGGACUAUUCGAGCCGGCCGGGGCUUGGUCGAAACCAGUCCAACCUAGUCUGAGGUCACCAAGUUCGUAGGUUCAAGUUAUGAACCAAGUUUGUGACCCGAGCUUGUGAUUCAAGCUCAAGUUUGUGAUUUCGUUCGCUCGAGCAAGUUCGUGAGGUGACUGGCCAGUGAGGGUGAUAAGGUGUUAGGUGGGUGUACAAGUGGAGUUCUACGGGCCUUAUUCGUGGUCGACGGGGUGUCGACAGGAGGUCACGCAUGGCAAACGACUUGGCUUUGGAGCCAACCUGUAUCCUCCCUUUGUAUUGUUACUUUUGCACUUGACUUGGCAUUUUGUGAAAUAGUUAUUUAUUUUCAUAUGAAAUUUACGUGUUUACCCCCGUGUACUUACAAGUAUAUAGCUUACCCCGUUUCCUUUGUUUUCCUUAGCAGGGGGCGACGCGAGGAAACUUUUGGACACUGCCACUAGUAUAGUUAGGGUUAGUUGUAAUAGUUGGUCGGUUAAGAUGUUUCUUUUGUUUUGGUGGUUUGUAUAAGGACCCACCUUAGGGUCCACCUUCUGCUGAUUGUUAUUGUAAUGUAAUAUGGUGGUCUGAAUAGAUACUUUUGAAGAUGUAAAUAGUACUCUUUUGGUUUAAUAUAGUUUUAUUAGUUUUGUGUUUCGAGUCCUGGCGCGAGCUAGGCAGGCGUCCCGCCGAUACCCUAGGGUUCGCCCUUGGGAGAAGCAGGGGCGUCACAUUACUAGUGUACGUUAAAUUUGAAGUGUAUUAUAGACGUGGGACCCGCUAGUGCGAUAAAAUUUUGGUGACUAAGUGAUUUUUGUGCUAAAUGUUAUUAUUUUAUACGGUGCUAGAAGAUGAUUAGAGGCUAGCUAGAUAGAUUAACCAUUGGGAGAAGGAAGAUAAGCUUAAAACAUUCAAGGUGCCACGUGUCGCGAACCGAUUGGAAGUUGGACUUGACCAAGACUUUCUCACCUUUACUAAACCAAAUUUUGACAAAAAAUUCCUUUAUUUUUCUUGCUUCUUGGCCGGCUGUUUUGAGGAGAAAAACAAGAAGAGAAACUUCCUUUUCUAGCUUCCAAACUUGUUCAAAUCUUGAGUUUUAGCCAACCAAAUUAGAAACUACACCAUACAAGUGCUCACUAAGGAGGUUUAAAGAUUUUGGUGGAGUUAUUUUGGAGGAGAAAGGUCUAAGCUACCAUUUUUCCUUGUGGUCAUAAGGUCUAUUGUCAAGAAAAUCCUUCUUUACUUCUAGUAAUGGCAUAUUAGUGGUUUAGAAAUGAGAAAUAUGUAGUUUUAUGAGGAAUAUUGUGAUUUGAAGUAAUGAUUGAGGAAUUUUCAGUUUUCUUAGAGAAUUUUCUGCCCUCAUGUGAUGAUUAAUGGUUGGCCAUGAUUUAUUAGCUUUGAUAAGUGAAAAAUCUAGUGUUUUGGUGUUAGUUUAAUUUGCCUAAAGGAAUUUUCAGCUUGGGUGUUAAAUUUCAGCUUUAGUAGAGAAUUCUGCCCUGUUCUGACUAGUUUCAUUCGGCCAUGAUGGAGGCCGAAUUGGGCUUAGCUUAAAACAUAAAAGUUGUAGGAAAUGAUGUUUUAUAGCUGCCUGUAAAAUUUCAGCUCAAUCCGAGUACUAUAUCACAUGAAAUGACAAAAAUACCCUUGACUGCCAUAGGUAGAGUUUUGCGGACAGUUUUGACAUUUCAUCAUUCUGGUUUCAUUUUUCACCUUGAUCCGUAUUAAAUCAGCAGUUUCCCAAAACACAAAAGUUGUAGUUUUAUGUUUUAGCUUUCCAACACAUCCUAAAACGCCUCAAUUGGACUUGUGUAGCCUAAGUUAUUGUCAUUUGAAUCCAGUGCUGUUAUCCAGCCUGAUAGUGAAAUUCUGGUUCUGUAAUCUGUAAAUUCGACCUGGAUAAACUGUGAACCGUGUGACGCCCCCGCUUCUCCCAAGGGCGAACCCUAGGGUAUCGGCGGGACGCCUGCCUAGCUAGCGCUAUGACUCGAAAUUUCGAAACAAUAAAACCUAGAUAAACCAAAAGCGUACUAUUCACAAUAGCCAACUCCAAAAACAAUUCUAUUUACAUCCCCAAAAGCAGCUAGUCAAUCGACUAUAUUACAUUCUGACAACAACUAGCAGAAAGUAGACCCUAAGGAGGGUCCUUAUACAAACCACCAAAACAAAAAUAACCAUCUUAAUUGGCCAACUAUUACAAGCAAACCUAACUAUACUAGUGAAUGUGCCAAGUAGUUCCCCGUGUCGUCCCCUGCUAAGGAAAACAAAGGAAAACGGGGUAAGCUAUGUGCUUAGUAAGUAAACAGGGGUAAAAUCGUAAAUUGCACAUGUAGAUAAACAACUCUUUCACAAAAUGUCAAGUCAAGUGCAAAAGUAACAAUACAAAUGAAGGAUACUGUAACGCCCCGAGGCAGAAGAAAAGGGAAAAAUUUCUGGUGAAUAGAGUUUUGUGGGGAAUCCGGCCCACAUAAAUCUGGAAGAAAUUCGGUCCGCAUAAAGAGCUUAAAGAGCCAGCUCUUUAAGGCUUUCCGAUAAGGCCCAAUAAGUACUAAAAUACUCAACGCCUAACAACUACUAACUAAGCUAACAAGUAUGAGAUCAUUCUUUCACUUCAAACGUACAAGUGAACAAGGUAACUUCAUGGUCCAUCAAAUCUUCAAGCUUAGUUUGCUUGCUCCUUGCUUCCUUCACCCUCUUGGAUCUUGAUCUUGUCAUCGGACUGCCAAUGUGGACCAAAGGAUCCUUGACCUAAGGUUGAAGUUGUUGCGCACCCAGAUCCAUAUCAAUAAGUGCCAAUGAACCUAGAAAAUAGGGUUUCACGCUUCGGUUUCAAGUUUAGAGAAAAAUUAGGGUUUUCGCGAUUUUUCGCCGGAUGAAUUUUCGGUACAGAGUAAGGAUUAAAUUUGGAGAUUAAAAGUGACUUUUAAGUGAAAAAUAAUAUGUGAGUAGUAGCAAUAAUAUAAAGUUAGUGAAUGGGAAGUAAAAACCCUAGUACGUGAGUUUUUAAGAAAAACGGCGCGAUCCGGCGGGUCCCGCACACUACCGUUUGAACCACCACUUGACCACCACUUUCUUGCCAUACAAGUUUAUUACUAAUGGAGCAAAAUAUCUCCUCUCUCAUGAUGACUUCUUGACCGAAAUUUGUGGCUAAAAUGCAAGGAAAGAAAGAGAAAAUUUUGUGGUGGAAAUUAAGCCAAGUGUUGCCUAAACUUGUGGUCCCAAAUUAAUCCUAAUCUUCUUGCUUUCUUAUCUUACAAACUUAGCAUUCUUCUUCAUUUUUUCUUCCCCUUGGCCGAAAUAAGAGAGAGAGAGAGAGUCAAAGAGAGUUCAUCUCAUUCUCCUUCAUUUCUUCUCCAAAUCUUGAAAAGUUUCUUCUAUUCGCGCAAAUCUACUCCGAUUAAGUUGUUAUCUAGCACAAAGGCUACCUACCGGUGUAAUUUUCUUGAGGAACAAAGGCCUUGAACACUUGUUUCUAGUCUCCUUGGAAAGGUAUACAUGCUAGAACCUUGAUUCCCCGAUUAAAUGCGUGAUUAGUUGCUGAAUAUGUCACAUAUGGUUGAAUUAUUGAUGUAUGUGGUGAAAUAGAGGCUUGGAUCAUGAUUUUCCAUUUUAUUGGAAUUUUUACAGUUUUCCUAUGAUUCUUCUAGUGCUUAAAAUUUGGGGCUUUGAUGUUUAAAGUUUAAUAUGGGAAGUUAAUAUGGUGAAGCAAGCCAAAAAUAAAGAAAUUAGCAUUUGAUUUCAAGAAUUUCCAGAUUUCAGGAACUUGAAAAUUCAGUUCUGCCCGUUUCUGUAUCAUCUAGUUAGAGGCCGAAUUUGGCUUGGCAUAAAACAUAAAAGUUGUAUAGAAUGGUAUUUUAUAGUUUUCCACAAAAUUUCAGCUCAAUCGGAGGAUCGUAGCUUGUGAAAAGACGAAAAUACACUCGCUGAUCUAGGUCACUUUCCAGAUUGCCGCGCGGACAGUUUAGUCUUUUUGGUUGAGUUUAUUCACUGUAAUCCGUUCAGUUUUAGUCUUUUCUCAAAACAUGAAAGUUUUAGCUCCCUGUCUUAGCUUUGUAACACCACCAAGAACGUCUUAAACGGACCUCGGUAGACUGAGAUAUGGUCAUUUGAAUGCAGUGCGGUUAAUUAACCGACUAGUUGGAUUUUGGAUCUGUAAAGUGGGCAUUUGACUAGAUUGCACUGUAAAUCUGACUAAGUCAUCUUCAUGAGAAUUGUAUACAUUUGUCUUAGCUUUCAUAUGGCUUUGGAAUUACUGGAUUCGGAGUUAUGUGUGCUGAGAUCAGAGUGGAUGAAUCAAGACUACCACAGUAAACCUCGAACUAGAAAAUCUGGGACCAUUUUGAUAAAUUUGACCUAGAUACAGGGCAAACUGGACUGAGUGGCCUUCUUCAACAUUGUAGCCCUGUGUCUUAGCUUCAAAACGGCUUAAGUUUCAUCCCAAUUCGAUAAGUGUAACUCCGGUUAUGACCGUUAUGCAUGAACCCGUCAAAACUGUCUUUUGUCAAAUUGCAUUUCCGCACUUGUUAUUACUUUGAUUUUUGUUCUUAUAUUGUCUUGAGCCUACGAAACGGCUAUUAUGAUGAGUUUGUACUGUACAUGACUUUGGGAUUGGCUGAGAAAAAUCAUGAAGCCAUAAAUGGCUGGAAAUUAGGUAAACACAAAGGGCAUGCUGCCCAAAUUUUCGCCCGAAAGCUAAGUUCUAUUUGAACUUGUAUAAUAGUAUGACCGUUUUUCCAUCUUAAAAACAUGAUCCUUCUUCAAUUGGAAACUCCAAAUGUUUACUUACUCUUACCAAAUAAAGAGGAGUGGUUUCGGAUUUUCUUGAGUAUUUUGUCCUCUCUUUUUCAUGAAUUUCAUUAAGACAAUUAGUCUAUAAUAUCUACUUGAAUAUGAGAUAAGUUUCAACCAUACAAACGAUUCCGAAAACGGUUUUUUUUUAGUCUAUCUAGUUGGAUUUUGACUUGUCUUUAGUUCAAAUGUUUCCAUUAGAAAAUUUAUAACCCUUUUGAGUUUGGUUUACGUGUGGUCUAGGAAACCCUAGUUAUUUUGUCCACAGGUCCAAAUGUCCUUGUUCCACUUUAAAGUCUUUUUAUACGUUCUACUCAUCAUUUGUCGAGCUUCUUUGAUUGCACCUAAUUGUUUGUGAUAAAUGAGUGGUAAUAUUCUUUUCAUUUAAUUUUAGGUUUUCUCAGUGACUAAAGAUAAUAUCUGGAAGGAUAUUUUGCACGUUGUUGUGCGUAAAUAGGUGAGUGUUCUAUAUACCCGUUGUUUUCUGUGACUACCUGAUUACUUGACUAUCUGUUUACUCGAUUUCGAAUUUAUGUGAUUACGUAAUAUCCGUGAAUUACAUGCUCCUAUGAAAUCAACUGGUAUUGCUUACGUGCUAAGUGUCCACUUGAUUACUUAAUUAUCAUGAAUCACAUGCUAUAUGAAGUUGUCCAUCAUUGUUAGGCAAGUGUGUACUUUACCUCACUCGACCUAUUCAAUUGAUGAAUUUUACCCUUUGCCGAAUUACUUGGUUACUUGUGCAUGUUGUAAGCUCUAAGCUGAACUUGGGCCCCGCCUCGGUUACUGACCUACUCGAGCCAGGACUGGGCUCGGUCGGGUAGGUUGGAACCCUGGACAACCGUCGGUAUACUCGAGUAUUACCACUGGAGGGAUAAGGUGAUGGCCAGUCAACCGUGGGGAUCCGGAAGUUAUAAGGUGCAGAGGACCGACAAAGUUCCACCGGAACACCGUAUCCUUCAGUAUAUGGUUACCGUGUAUCAUGAUAAGUGUUCAAUGCUAAAAUGCCAACAUGAAAUCAUGUGCUAUACCUGUGAUAUGCUCCAUACCUGUAAUAAGUCCCAACCACUCAUGAACUAUACAUAAGGUUUUCUGGAUUAAUUGUUAUUACAUGACUAAUAUUCCUUGUUUAAUUACUUGUUUAUAUAUAUAGAACCUCACUGGGCUUUUUAGCUCAUACCACGUCAAUUGUUUUCCUUAGCAGGGGAAGGCGAGCAAGGACGAGAGUUCUGUAUAGUCUAGUUGAUCUAGUUCUUUGGCCUUGUAAUGGUUCUCGCCCUAGUGCUUGGCACGGGCUGGUUGUAUGAGGAAUGAGAACCCUUGUAUAUUCGAUGUUUGUACUUGAAUGGUAAACACUUUGAAAACUUCUGGUGUGUAGAAGUUCUUAUCUUUUACUUGAGCAUCUAUUGUCUAUGGAUGUAUAUACAUGAUACGAGUGAGUGAGUCCUGGCGAGAGUUGGGCAGGCGACCCGCCGAUACCCUGGGGUACGCCCUAGGGAGAAGUGGGGCCGUUACAGAUACAGGUUGGCUCCAAAGCCAAGUCGUUUGCCAUGCGUGACCUCCUGCCGACACUCCGUCGACCACAAAUAAGGUCCGUAGAACUCCACUUGUACUCCCACCUAACACCUUAUCACCCUCACUGGCCAGUCACCUCACAAACUUGCUCGAACGAACGAAAUCACAAACUUGAGCUUGAGUCGCAAGCUCGGGUCACAAACUUGGUUCACAUUCUCGGUGAACCGGAUUCACAAACUUGGUGACCUCAGACUAAGUUGGACUGGCUUCGACCAAGCCCUGACCGGCUCGAAUAGUCCAUCUAGGUCGGAAAAUCAAUCCCAACUUACAAACGUCACCCCGAGCUACAAGCUCAAGGGGUUCAAAUUCAAAAUAAUUCAUGUAUACACAUCUCAUAAAGAAACAUAGGUACAAACUAGGGUUUAGGUCGAGUGUGAUAAAGUACACCCUCGCCUAAGUCCCCCUUUUAUUCACAUCAAACACAUAAGCAGUUUAUACACAUAAACGGCCUGAAUACUUACUCCAAAAGUACGUAUAGCAAAAAUACAAGGAUCACGUCACGUAUAUGGCUAGUAGGCCCCACCGGCACCGUCUAGCCCGUCACCGUCUGAAAUAGAAGAUUGCAUCACAAUAUAUCACAAACGGUCACUAACAUGCAUAACUCAAGUAAAACGGCAAAAUUGGCACAUGCAAGUGCGGAAACGGCACACGGAAAUGGAGACGGACACGGAAACGGAAACGGAAACGGCCAGAUUUGCCAUCCCAAACCGUUUUGAUCAAAAGUUAGGCUAAGAAUGUCAGAUCAAGGUGGGUGAGACACCGUUUUGAAGCUACGAGGAAGGGCUACAACUUUUAUUUAGACAUCUCAACCCAGAUCUCAAUAGGUAUUGGUCAAAAAUGCACAAAAUAGUUCCAGCCAUUUCAUUUCGGGUUACCAAACAGGCCCUGUUUGAAAAACCGUAACUCACGCCUUAGAAAUCGGAAUCAAGAAAUUCCAGAGGCGUUAGAAAGCUCAUUCAUAAGACUAUAACUUUCAUGUUUGGACCAAAGGCUGAAUCAAUACAGAGCAUGGGGAAAAAUGGGUCCAAACAUCCCUGUCAGAACUGUCCAAAUUCGAAGGCAGUUCUGACAACCGAUCUUGUUUUGGUCAUAACUGGAGGUAUGGUACUCGGAUUGGAAUGUACUUUAUACCGUUUUGAAGCUAAGACCAAGAUCUACAUUUCUUAUGAAGGAAUCAACACCCAGUUCGCAUGUUAUCAAAACGGACAGAGCAUGGUUAGAAGCAAAAUUCAAAAACGUAAAACAAUCUAGUGUACAAAACAGGUGCAAGUGUUUUGGCUAUAACUCGGGCUACACUGAUCCGUUUGACCUGAAAUGUUGUAGGAAUAUUAAGGACUUAAGAGGCUACAACUUUCAUGAAGACCACUCAGUCCAGUUCUCACCCUAACUAGGCCAAAUUUACCAAAACAACUCCAGAUUUUCCAGUUCGAAAUACACUGCAGAAAUCAACUAGCAGUCCUGCUUUAUUCACUCAUAUCUCAGCACAUACAACUCCAAUUCAGGUAAUUCCAAAGCCAUCAGAAACCUAAGAUACAAGGAUACAAUUCUUAAGAAGACAUCAACAACCAAAUCAGAAGCAUUCCCAAUCAAAUUAACCAAUUACCAAAGCUGAUUACCAAGUUCGGACAGAAACAGGGCAGCAGGGGUAUUUCGGUAUUUUCAUAGGCUAUGUUACUCCGAUUGAGCUGAAAUUUUUCAGGAAAAUAUAAAACAUCAUUCUCUACAACUUUUAUGUUUUGUACUAAGGCCAAAUCCACCUCUAACUAGGUGUAACAGUACCGGCAGAAUUGGGGAAAAAAAUGAAACCCUAGGCUGAAAUUCCAUCAACCUUUACCAAUCUAGGUUUUCAUCCAUAAAACUUCUAAGAUUCAGGUCAUCUAUCCAAUAAAAUACAAUAUAAGAGGUAGAAGAAGAGUUUCUUAGUUUAAUACCUUCAAACCUCAAGGAAAUACACAAGAACAAGGCUGCCCAUGCAAAAAUCACUCCACCCAAAGCUUCCUUGUCACCUUAUUGCAAGUUUAAUCGGUUUAGUUUUUGUGGUUUCAACUCAAACAAGGUAAAAUCUAAGAUGGAACUUGAAGCUCUCCCUCUCUUUUCUCCUCCCAAAUUUCGUCCAUCAUGGAAGGCAAAGGAAGAAAAUGGUGAUUGACUUGAGUUGGAUAAGUUUUAAGCUUAAUCUUGGUCAUGGUCUUGGUCAAGAUUGGCUUGGUGCUUGACAAGUGGCACAAAUCCAAGGGAAGUCUAUCUAAUUCUCUCUCUUAAGCACUCAAAUAUCUAUUACUCCUCCAAUCAUCUCUCAACACGUUUUGUCACAUAAUUUCUUUUGCAUAAAAUUCCUUCUAGUCGUUAAAAUUUUACCGCACUAACCGUACUAGCGGGUCCCACGCCCAAUAUGCACUACUAACGUCACAUGAACUAAAUAAUACAAAAAAAAUUUCUUAGAACUUAAUUCCCUUAUAAAAAUAGCUAGAAAAUUAAUAUAAUAAAGAAAAGUAUAGAAAAUGUAGGCACAGAAUAAAAAUAAGGGCUAGAAAAUAAGAAAAUAUCGGGUUCUCACCGUUUUCCUUAACUCGAACGUACUAGGGUUUUAACUUAUAAUUCACUAACUUAUUAUUAUCACUUCUAAUCAUAUAAUAUUUCCUCAUCCAAAAGUCACUCUUAGCUACCAAAUUUGAUCCUCACUCGGUACCGAAUAGUCACACUACGAAAAAAUGUGAAAACCCUAAUUCGCUCUUUCUUGAAAACGAAAAGUGAAACCCCACUUUCUAGGUUCAUUUGCACUUAUUGUGGGAUGAUUGGAUAGUAGGACCAUAUUAAAUGAAUAAUUUCCAAAUAAAAGGGCAUUUUUAAGAAAAAUAUAAGGAUGUUGCAAGUCCUCACAAACCGGGCUGAGUUGUCUCCAUAAAAGUUGUAGCCCUUUGUCUUAGUUUCAAAAUGGUAUAAAUUGUACCCCAAUCCUAUCAGCGUAGCUUCGGUUGUGACCGAUACGCUAAGAGACGUCAAACCUGUCAUUUUGUUCUUUACCUUAAACCUUAUUUCCGGUCACUUUUCUAGCUUGGUUUUGUAAUGGAAUGACUUUUAGCCUAUUGAACGGCUAUUGUAAUGAGAUUAUUUGUGGGUGAUUUUGGGGGCUGAUUGAGGAAAAUAAUGAAGCCAUAAAUGGUUGGAAAAUAGGUAAAUACAAAGGGCGUGCUGCCCAAAUUUGCACUCGAGGGUUAGGUAGAUGUACUCGCGACUUGAGUAAGGGUUGAGGAUGAAACUAACUUGAAUCAUCUAAGGUAUUCAAAUCUUCUUUAUUAGAGGUAUAUAAGUUAGAAUCUGGCCGAAACUUGUACCCUUGGAAAAAUGAAAUUUACGACUAAUAGAAAUACGUUUUCUUCGUUUCUUCGACUUAAAUGGAGCUUCCAAAGUUUUACGAGCGAGCGUAAGUUUUACAAAUAUUUUACUCAUGGCCUUUGGUUUAAAUGUACUCUUUUCACUUCCAAAACUAUACUUAUACUUUGUACUAGUAGUUAUUCGGGACUUUGGAUGGUAACUGUAAUAUUUUCUCUUGGUUAUUAUUAGGGUUCUUGGUGAUUGAGGGUAUUAUCCGGAAAGAAACUUUGGACGUUAUUUUGCUUAAAUAGGUGAGGGUUCUUUAUACGUUAUGUUUCCAAUGACUAUGUGGAUUGUUGUGACUAUACGACUAUUUGUGAAUGUUGGAUUAAAUGUUAAAUGUUUUCAAUGAUUUCUAAAAAUGAAUUUUACUAGGCGAGUGUGUACUUUAUCGCAUUCGACCUAAAUAAAUAUGAAAUUUACAAUGAUUAAAUGUUUAAAUACUACUUGUACAUGAAUGUAAGCCUUUUUUGUUGAACUGGACCCUUGCCCUUUGUUGCCGAUCGACUCGAGCCAGAAGCGGACUCGGUUGGACGAUUGGUGACCCUGAGUUAAUGUUUGGUAUACUCGAGUAUGACUACGAAGUCUAGUGGAGGCUGGCCAAUGUCCAGUAGGGGAAAAAUGAAAUGAAUGAAUGAAUGGCAAGAACAAUGGAGGGGUUUUCACUUACAAAUAUAAUUUUUAAUGACUGAAGGAAUAAGGAAAAGAUUGGUGGAAGGAAUGAACGAAGGGCUCCACGUGAGCAUGUAUCCUUUUAAUGAGUGUGUUAUCAUUGCUUUAUAUUGUAAAUGUUUUCUGGAUUACUUGUUAUUACAUGAUUAAUGUCCUUGUUUAAUUACUUGGCUAUGUGUAUGGAACCUUACUGGGCUUUUAGUUCAUUCCGUUAGUUUUGUUUUCCUUACAGGGGAUGCGAGCGAGGGCGUGAGAUUUGUGCAGACUAGCCUGGACUAGUUCUUUUGAAUUUUAUUUUUUUUCGAUUUUCUCGCGCUAGUGCUUAGUUAGGGUUGGAUGUAUUGAGGAUUUAAAGCUUUUGUUAUCUCUGGGACUGUAUAUUUUGGUUGAGAUUGAAAUGAAUGUAAGUAUACGUUUCAAGUUUGGGAAUUGUUAUUUCAUUUUCUCGAGGUUAUAUCUUAUUUUGUUUGAGGAGAGCGUUUGAGUCCUGGUGAGAGCUGGGCAGGCGGUCCGCUGAACCCUUUGGUUCGCCUUAGGGACAAGUGGGGCUGUCACACCGAACCCCCUUCCCUAGUCUUAGGUUAGUUGUGAUCCUCUUCCUUGAGGGUUUUGUUAGUCCUUUAGCUUAUAAAAAGGUUCACUUUAUACGGUGGAAGGGUUACACACUUUGAGAAUAAACUUUCAGCAUUGUCUUUUCUUACAUUCGAGAGUUACAAUUCCAUUACUUGCUUGGCAAGAGUUCUUGAGCAAUCUCGCGAUUGUCGCCGUUCUACCGCCUUGAUUCAAGUCAUGUCGUCCUUCUUGAAUCUAGGAAUCGCAAAUCCAAACGGUUGAAAAUCUCGCUAGAUCCUUGGGCAAACGUGCUACGUGUCUCGGAACAUGUUGACCGAGGAGCGUAUUAGUUGGCUUCAGAGCCUAGGUUGAGGUAUCAUCCGUUAUAUCCGUGUUUUGUCUUUGUUGUGUCAUUAGGGUUCCUUGUUGUUCCGCUGCAUUGUUACAAAAAAAAAAAAAAAAAAAAAAAGAUUUUGUCCGCACUUUAGUUCCUUGUUGCGUCAAUUUUUGUCCGUGGUUGUGUUGAGUAGUAGUUGUCACAAAUCUGUCCGCAACUUGUUUAUUGUUGUUGAGUCGUAAUUGCCCUUCGUUUGUCGAAAAUCUGUCCGAAUUUAGCCUCCUUUGUGUUUGAUUUUAUCCAUAGUCUUGUUCCUUUGUUUUCGUGUCAAAUCUGUCCGAGGUUUGUGUGCACUUGUGGUGUCCAAAAUUCUGGUUUAAGUCCACAAAUCUGUCUUGUUAAGUUAGUCUUCGCUUGAGCAACAAGAAAACCAACUUGGGUGGAGGCUAGGGUUUCCCUUCUUCGCUAGGGUUUCGUGUGUCCAAUCUGUCCAAGUUUGUUCGUGAGAUACCCAACUUGUUUUACUUGUUUUCAAAAUCUGAUUUUGGUUGAAACUUGUUGGUAUUUGAGAAUCUUGAGAGAAUCUACAAGAAUCUUGGGUUGCUUGAAUUUCUUCUUGAAGUUCUUGAAGUCCUUGAUCACUUACUUGGAAGUUCUUGAAGGAUCUUGGAAUUCUUGAUAGUUUCUUGUUGUGAGGGGGGGCCAAAUCAAAUCUGGAAUUUAUUUCCUUCGGCCAAGUAUGUGUGUUGUUGUUCGUUUAAGUCAAAAAAAAAACAGCAACGAAAAGAAAAGAAAGAAAGAGGAGUCGGGUGGGCAAGAAAACUAAACAAGAAGGAAAGUUCGAAACUUUUAUUGCCAAAUCAGUCACCAAUACAUCUUGUUCCUAGCCGAAAAGAAAAUAAAAACAAAGGGAAAAGAUUCAAAAGUUUUGAUCUAUUACUUCUUGGAGUUCUUGAAUAUCUUGAUUCUUGGAAGCUUGUUUCAUCCAUCUUGUGUACAUCUUUUUGUACUCUCUAGCGGUGGUGAAGGGUUUCCUUGGAGUUCUUGUCUCUUUCUUGGGAACAUCUUGGGUAACCCAUUGGGGGGGAGCCCGAGGAGGGUUGUUUGCAUUAUCUUAUGGAGUCUCCAUUGUUGAGUUAGAACCGAAACUGUUUGCACCAAAAAGAAAGGAUAACCCGCACUUGAUCUUGUGUGUAUGAGUUUUGGAUUGAGAGAGGGAGCUUUAUAAGUGGCUGUCCAACCGACUUGAGUAAGGAAAUUUUGGAAAGAGACAAAAUCUGAUUUGUUACUCCUUAUUGGGAAAGAAUUUGGAAGUUUCUAAAAGUUGUUGCAAGAAGGAAAGGGUUUUCUAAAGGUUUCCAUAACUAACUUGUUUCCAAAUUCAAUUAGGAAACUAAGUAGACAGCUUGGGAACUCUUGUAAUUCCACUUGGACAAGUCCCUUCAAUUUAGGAAACUAGGGUUUCGUUGGAUUCCUUUCACACUAGCGCCCCCUUCCAUUGCUGUCCGCCUUAGGAAACCUCCAAAUCGGGCACCAUUGUUCCCACAUUGCAUCCGAAAUUGUGUCUUGUUUCUUGGUUACUCUUGUGGACAGUUGGUAAACAAUUGUUGGACUUUGGGCGGCAUUUCUCAACUACUCAAACCAACAGGUAAGGAAUCUUAGAAGAUCAUUAGAGUGAUUUGGAGUGAAAAUACGAGGGUGAGUGAAAUACUCAGGGAGUGAAGUGAGGGUUUUUAUUGCAUUAUUUCCUUGUCACUAACCUUUUGCAGGGCAACCGUGAGACAUGGAGCAAGCUCAUCCAACACCCGAUUACACUUUGAUGUUCAAUGCCAUGAAAAAUGAGCUUAAGAGGAUUAGUGAGCAACAAAUGGAGGAAAUGCACAACCGCUUUGAUGAACUCUCCAAGAGCUUCAUGAGAGGCUCUCGCGCUAGAUCUCGCAACCGAAGUAACCAUGGCACCAAAUGGACAAAUUAUGAGGAUUACUCGGCUAGUGAGAAUGAAGAAAGAGCCGAGAGGCCUAAAAGGGACACAUCUAAGAAUGAGCUCAAGUGAUACGCUCCUCGAUCAACGCAUUUCGAGACGCGUAGCACGUUUGCCCAAGGAUCUAGCGAGGUUGUCCAGCGUUUGGUUUGCGGAACCCAAAACCAAGACGGACGACACGACUUGAUUGAAGGUGGUAGAACGACGACUCCAAACGAGGUGAAUACUCAAGUGGAUAGGUCGGAUGAACAAUCAAGGACAAUCAGAGAUUGCUCAAGAACCCUUGUCAAAGCAAGUAAAAGGAUUCGAAUCUCUCAAUAAUUGAAGAGCAACACAAAAAGAAUUUUAUUAUCAAAAGUGUUUAACCCUUCAACCGUACAACUUGAGCCUUUUUAUAGGCUAACAAAGCUAAUGAAAACCCUGGAGCCUAAUGCGGCCCAUCUACUUAAACUAGAAAAGAGAUUCGGUCCACUCUUGAACAUGGGUGGGCCGAAUAUGACUCCAAUAACUAAUAAACUAUUAAUUAAAACACGACUAACAAACCAACCAGCAACUAAGGACUCAAUAACAAUCAAACCAACUAACAAACUAACAACUAACAAUCGGUCAACUCAUUACGGACACGUGUGGCCAUCAUUCGAUGCCUCCUUGGCUUGGGUCAACGUGUAGACAAGUCGGCUUGAAUCAAAGUGUAGACAACUUGAUUAACAUCCUUCAAGCCUUCAAUGUCUCUAUGAAAGCCUUGAGUCAAGGCCGCCAUCCGUGCACACAUCAUCAAGGGACUUAAAAUUCAAGUUCCUACUUUCCAAGGCAAAAGUGAUCCUGAGACUUACUUGGAAUGGGAUGGCCGCAUUGAGAUGGUCUUCGAUUGCUAUGAGUAUAGCGAGGAACAAAAGGUGAAGGUUGCCACUGUUGAGUUCACUGACUACGCACUAGUUUGGUGGGAUCAAGUAAGGACUAAUAGGAGGAGAAAUGUUGAGCCCCGAGUUCGAAGUUGUCAAUAACUCAAGGCACUAAUGCGCAAGCGGUUUGUUCCGAGCUACUACAACCGCGAUCUCCACUCUAAGCUAUAAACCCUCACUCAAGGCAAUAUGAGUGUAGAGGACUACUACAAGGAGAUCGAGAUGGCCAUGAUGAGGGCAAACAUUCAAGAAGAUAGUGAAGCCACUAUGGCAAGGUUCCUUAGAGGUCUAAACACUGACCUUCAAGAAGCCUUGGAGCUUCAACAUUACUUGGACAUGCAUGAUCUUCUUGAACUAGCCAUCAAGGCCGAGCGGGGGAAGAAAUUGAGGAGGGGAGGCCGAACCUUCCAAGCCUCCUACCCGAAUACAUGGAAGGGAAACCAUCCGAGGAGGACAUCACAAGAAGUUGGAAAUUCGGCUACACCAACUCCUUCUAGCCGAAUUCAAGGUAAUGUUCCUAACCGAAAUUUUCAUUCUACCCCUAACAAGUUUGUUGAUGUAUCCAGGACUACUCCUAAGGCCACUCAAGAGACUCCCAAGUCUAGGAGUAGAGAUAUCAAACACUUCAAGUGCCAAGGAUUUGGACAUAUCCAGUCCCAAUGUCCAAAUCAACGGACUAUGUUGGUCACUCAUAAUGAUGAAAUCGUAUCGGAUGAUGAUGAUUAUGAGGAGAUGCCUGGAUUGACCAAAGAUGAUUGCUUGGAGAAUGACUCGGCUAAGGAAGAAUGCUCUCCUACUCAAGGAGAAAUCGAUUGUUUGGUGGCACGACGAGUGCUAACCACCCGAGUCAAGAAGGACAAGCAAUUGCAAAGGGAGAACUUAUUUUACACUCGAUGUAAAGUAAGUGACAAGGUGUGUAGGCUCAUCAUCGAUGGUGGGAGUUGCACCAAUGUGGCAAGCUUGCUAAUGGUUGAAAACUUGGGCCUUCCUACGACUAAACAUCCACAUCUAUAUCGCCUCCAAUGGCUAAGUGAAGAAAGUGAGGUGCGUGUCUACAAGCAGGUACAUCUUUCUUUUUCAAUUGGCAACUAUAUUGAUGAAGUUGUGUGUGAUGUUGUUCCUAUGCAUGCUACUCAUGUUAUUUUAGGAAGACCCUGGCAAUUUGAUAAGCAUGUCACAUUUGAUGGUAGAGCUAAUAAGUACAUUCUAUUGCACAAUGGUAAAUGCACAGUCCUAACACCCCUCACACCUGCACAAGUAUAUGAGAACCAACUUAAAUUGCAAAGGGAGUGUGACUUAGACUGCCAAAAGAAGAAGCAAAGGGCGGCCGACUCUGGGAAUUGCUCCACUUCCACAAGUGAGCAAUCGACCAAGGGUCAAGUGAGCACACCUAGUGUAACACAUGAUCAUGCAUUUAUUAAAUCCAACACUAGGAAGCAAAACAUGAUAAUCAAGGCUAAGGAUGUUAGGAAAAUUGUGAAUUCUGAUCAGCCAGUAUUACUCAUGAUUUGCAAACAUGUGCUUCUGAAUGUUGAUGAGCUCGAUAAGGCCUUGCCUUCGAGUGUAGUUGUUCUUUUGCAGGAAUUCGAGGACAUGUUCCCUGAUGAGGUCCCUGAUGGCUUACCACCCGUACGAGGGAUCGAGCACCAAAUCGACCUAAUUCCUGGAGCACCACUACCCAAUAAACCCGCUUACCGCAUGGGUCCUGAGGAAACUAAGGAGCUCCAAAGGCAAGUUGAUGGCCUACUAGGUAAGGGUUGGGUAAAGGAAAGUUUGAGUCCUUGUGUUGUGCCUGUGAUACUUGUCCCCAAAAGGGAUGGUACUUGGUGUAUGUGUACUGACUGCAAAGCUGUUAAUGCUAUCACUGUUAAAUACAGUCAUCCCAUUCCCAGAUUAGAUGAUAUGCUUGAUGAACUUGAUGGAGCUAUCAUUUUUACUAAAAUUGAUUUGAGAAGUGACUAUCAUCAAAUUAGGAUGAAAGAGGGAGGUGAGUGGAAAACAGCCUUUAAAACAAAACAUGGACUUUAUGAGUACCUAGUCAUGCCCUUCUGAUACGGACCUCGAUCAACUCGUUUCGAGACACGUAGCACGUUUGCCCAACGAUCUAGCGAGGUUGUCCAACGCUUGGAUUGCGGGACCUAGAAUCAAACGGACGACACGAUUUGAUUAAAGGCGGUAGAACGAUGACUCCGAUGAAGGUGGAUACUCCAGGGAAUAGGUCGGUAGAACAAUCAAGGACAAGACGCAAGAUUGCUCAAUAACCCUUGCCAGAAGCAAGUAAAGCUCGAAAUUCUCACAAGGAAGAAAGUCAAAAAACAAAGUAAUUUUAUUCAUGAAACGUCUACCCUUAAUGCUUACAAAGCAAGCCUUUAUAUAGGCGAGACUAAUGAAACCCUAAUAGCGAAACCCUAAUGUCGACAAGCUAGUUGGUCGGCCGCUCCUUGGACAAGGUGGGCCGAUAUGGACUCAAUAAAAGGGGCCUAGUGGUUCGGUCAUCCUCAAACAAGAGGUGGGCCGAAUCCAUGGCUAACAAAAGGACUAAUCUAACUUAAGACUCCUAACACUAAUGAUGUGUGCACGAACCUUAGCCCAAGUAAUGACCCAGUUCGAGUUCCAUUGGGCCCAGUCACACAUGCACGAGCCAAGCUCUUCAAAGAAUCCCUCCAAGCCUUUGUUCGAAUUGUCCAAGACCAACAUGGAGUCCAUAGAGAUAUUGAAGGUGUGACGACCCCACCUUCCCCUAAGGCGAACCAAAGGGUUCGUCGGACCGCCUGCCCAACUCUCGCCGGAACUCAGUCGUUCACUUCAGUCCUUAAUUAAAAUCGAAAUAAAUCCCAAGAAUAAAUAUAACGACAAUCCAUAACCUAACGCAAAGCUUAUGUACAUUACUAUCUCAAAAGGGAGUACAAAUAUCGAAUAUAUAAAGAUUCUCAGUUUACCACACAUCCAGCCCGUGCCAAGCACUAGGGCGAGAACCAUUACAAAAUCAGAAACUAGUCUAGGCUAGUCUAAACCGAGCUCUCGUCCUUGCUCGCCUUCCCCUGUUAAGGAAAACAAACUAAAGGGGUGAGUUAAAAGCUCAGUGAGGUUCCAAACACAUAAUCAAACAAUAAAGCUCAUGUAUUAACCAUAAAUGACAAGUAAUGCAAGAAACAUGACAAUAUAAAGCAAUAAUAACAUUCAUUAAAAGGAUACGGGCUCACAGGGAGCCAUUUAUUCGUUCGUUCGUUCUCCUGUCGUUCCCCUUAUUCCUCAAAUCAUUUGAAAAUGUAUUUUUGUAAGUAAAAUCCCUCAUUUGUUCUUUCGUUCGUUCAUUCACCCCCUUCCCGGCCGUUGGCCAGGCUCCACCCAUCCGGACGUUGUCCGGACUACAAGGUAAUACUCGAGUAUACCGACGUUCACACCCAGGGUCACCAUAUCGCCCGACCGAGUCCGCUUCUGGCUCGAGUCGAUCGGUAACGAAGGGCAGGGCCCAGUUCAGCCAGAAGGCUUACAUUCAUGCACAACUAAUUGUUCGUUCAAUCAUUAAAUCAUUGAAAAGUUCAUACAUUUUUAGGUCGAGUGCGAUGAAGUACACACUCGCCCAGAAAACUUGUUUUGAAAAUCAUUGAAAGUACUUAACACGUUAUCAAACAAUAACACAAGUCAUGGAGUCAAGAAUAAUAUAGCAAACAAGGAACACUCACCUAUUUAAGCAAAAUAAAGUCCAAAGUUUCCUUCCGGCUACACCCUCAAUCACCAAGGUGUCCUAAUAUAAUCAAAUGAACACAUUAUAUACAUCAAUCAUCAAAGAUUUAGUGAUUCAAAGAAAAUUUGAAUGCGUACUAGUACAAGGUAUAAUAUAGUUUUGGUAGUGAAAAUAGUACAUUGAAAUCAAAGGACAUAAGUAUAAUAUUUGUAAAACUUAGACUCACUUGUAAAACUUUAAAAUCGCUAUUUGAGUCGAAGUGGUAAAUAAAACGUAAAUACCCGAAAUAGUUCACGUGGUAUUUGCUCUCAAACCUUACUCAAGUCGCAAGUAUAUCGACCUAGAUUUCGAGCAUAAAUUUGGGCAGCACGCCCUUUGUAUUUUCCUAUUUCCAGCCAUUUAUGGCUUCCUUAUUUUUCUCAUUCAAGCCCAAGUUUAUACACAACACAAAUGCAUUUCAAUAGCCGUUCCAUAGGCUCAAGACAAUACAAGGACAUAAAUCAACUAAUAACGAAUGCGGAAAUGAAGUUAACAAGAGACAGAAUUGAUGGGUUUUUGCGGAAAGAACACAUCUGAGGCUACGCUUAUCGGAUUGGUGUGCAACUUAUACCAUUUCAAAGCUAAGACGAAGUCCUACAACUUUUAUGAAGGUCACUUAGUCAAAUUUCCAGUGUAACCUGGUCAAAUUCCCAGUUUACAGAGCCAACUUCCAACUAUACGGCUAAUUAACCGCACUGCACUAGAAUGGUCAUAUCUCAGGCUACCAAGGUCCAUUUAAGGUGUUCUUAUAGGUGUUGAAAAGCUAAGACAGAGUACUAAAACUUUCAUAUUUUAGAAAAUGGUAAAUCAGCACGGAUCCUAGUGAAUAAACAUGAUAAACUGGAUGAACUGACUAAAACGGAACACUGGAAACAUCCUAAAAUAGUGAGGGUAUUUUGGACUUUUCACAAGUUACGUUACUCCGAUUGAGCUGAAAUUUUGUAGGCACCUAUAAAAUACCAUUCUCUACAACUUUCAUGUUUUAUACCAAGCCUAAUUCGGCCUCUAACAUGGUGCAAUAAAACCGGACAGAACAAGGCUGAAAUUUUCCAGAAAUCUGGGAAUUUUGGGAUUCAAUGAAACUUUCUUCAUUUCUUGCCUCAACCCACCACCACAACCUCCUAUAUAAGCUUAGAUACAACAUAUAUCAUCCAUAUAGCAAGUAUAGGCAGAAAUCAUCAAACCCUAACUUACAUAUAUCACCUUAAAAAUCAUCCCAACAACUUGUAUCCCAACUAAUCUAACCAAAACAUGAAUUAUAUAACAUCUUAAUCAAAAAUAAAAGAACCAAAGCUAUGGGUUAGACCUUAUACCUCAACAAAAGAAGCUUGCAAGAGUAAUACUUCACCUCCUCUUGGAAUUUUUGUUUACCCUAGCUUCCCAAGGUCACAACUCACACUUUAAUCGGUUUAGAAUUUUGGUUCCUCACUUGGAUGGUGCAAAUCAAGAUGAAAUGGUGAAACUCUUGCUCUCUCUUUCUCUCUCUCUUGUCUCAGCCAAACCAGAAGAAAAUGAGGAAGAAUGAAGCUAAAUGGAAGAUAAAAAGGCAAGACAAUUGGUUUGGUCAAAGAGCCAUAGGUGUGUGACACUUGUCACCACCAAAGCCUUCCAAAUUUCUCUUUCUUUUCCUUGCAUUUUGGGCCACAUAUUUUGGUCACAUGGCUGAGGAUAGGGGGGGAUAUUUUGUAAAAAUAUCAAGGGUAUGUGGUAGUAAGAAAGUGGUGGUCAAGUGGUGAAUUCAAUCGGUAGUGAUCGAUACCCGUCGGUUCGCACCGUUUUUUCUUAAAACACACGUACUAGGGUUUUUACUUCCUAUUCACUAACCUUAUAUCAUUGCUUCUAAUCACAUAAUAUUUCUCACCUAAAAGUCACUUUUAAUCACCAAAUUUGAUCCUUUCUCCGUACCGAAAAAUUAUUCUAUGAAAAAUCGCAAAAACCCUAAUUUGCUCCAAUCUUGAAACCGAAAAGUGAAACCCUACUUUCUAGGUUCAUUUGCACUUAUUGUGGAAUGGUUGGGUAGUAGGGCUAUAAUAAAUAAAUAAUUUCCAAAUAAAGGGCAUUUUUAAGAAAAACGUGAGGAAUUUUACAAUUCCAGUGAUUAAAAUUAGGGUUUCAAUUAAAAUAUGAGGGAUUUAAGAAAACCGGUUAGUCACAAGUAAACUAGGGUUUUUGAUUAAAAUUUUAGGGUUUCUAGUCUUUUUGAAACAAAAUAAGGUUUUAAAUCAAACCCAAAGAAAUACACUUUAGUAUCUUCUUUACAAACAACUUCCUAAUAUUCGGGGUGUCACAAUCUCCCCUCCUUAAAAGAAUUUCGUCCUCGAAAUUCAUACAUGCACUUCGAAUAACUUAGGGUAUUUUCCUUAUAUAUUCGUUUCCAGCUCUCAGGUCUCAUUAUAGCCAAAACUUUGUUAAACGUAAUAAGGUGACUAAAGUAACUAAAAUUUAGGGCGUCAAAUAGCUAAAUAAACAUAUACACACAUAACACACCACAUAAACAUAUCAAGGAAACAAAUAAUCAAAUAUACAAAUACGUCUCAAGUCAGGCAGAUAUUCAUAUACACAGAUACACAACUGACGGCAUGUAGCGACAAUAUACGGGCGAAUCAAAAGAAAAGGGAUAUAUCGUCCCACACCCAGUUAGAAUAACCCCGUCCGGUCUCUCACGUCACUUACUAUCCAAACUAGAUACCCAUUGACCUCUUGUGCUCAUUCUAGCCAGACAAAGCCUGUUCAUGUUUCCAAAAUACAAGUCUCAAGUACCUAGUAGCUUGCAUCGCCUCAAUUCUGGAGUACUCAGGCACGAGAAUCUGAAAUAAGAUAGUUCACAUCUUGAGCUGGCCAGUCCCAAGAGUAAACUAUCUACAAUCGAAAUUCCUCCAUGACGUACCUAUCUACGGUCCUCAGAUACCACGGGAAAGAUUUAAGGCCUAUAAUAUUCACAGUUCAUAGCUUAUGCUCGAACGAGCACUUAAUCCUUCAUACCUAUUCACCACUCAGCCCAAACUCACUCCGCGCAGAGACCACGCGAAGCAGGUUCUGAUACCACCUGUGACGACCCCACCUUCUCCUAAGGCGAACCAAAGGGUUCGGCGGACCGCCUGCCCAGCUCUCGCCGGGACUCAGUCGUUCACUUCAGUCCUUAAUUAAAAUCGAAAUAAAUCCCAAGAAUAAAUAUAACGACAAUCCACAACCUAACGCAAAGCUUAUGUACAUUACUAUCUCAAAAAGGAGUACAAAUAUCGAAUAUACAAAGGUUCUCAGUUCACCACACAUCCAGCCCGUGCCAAGCACUUGGGCGAGAACCAUUACAAAAUCAGAAACUAGUCUAGGCUAGUCUAAAUCGAGCUCUCGUCCUUGCUCGCCUUCCCCUGUUAAGGAAAACAAACUAAAGGGGUGAACUAAAAGCUCAGUGAGGUUCCAAACACAUAAUCAAACAAUAAAGCUCAUGUAUUAACCAUAAAUGACAAGUAAUGCAAGAAACAUGACAAUAUAAAGCAAUAAUAACAUUCAUUAAAAGGAUACGGGCUCACAGGGAGCCAUUUAUUCGUUCGUUCGUUCUCCUGUCGUUCCCCUUAUUCCUCCAAUCAUUUGAAAAUGCAUUUUUGUAAGUAAAAUCCCUCAUUUAUUCUUUCGUUCGUUCAUUCACCCCCUUCCCGGCCGUUGGCCAGGCUCCACCCAUCCGGACGUUGUCCGGACUACAAGGUAAUACUCGAGUAUACCGACGUUCACACCCAGGGUCAUCAUAUCGCCCGACCGAGUCCGCUUCUGGCUCGAGUCGAUCGGUAACGAAGGGCAGGGCCCAGUUCAGCCAGAAGGCUUACAUUCAUGCACAACUAAUUGUUCGUUCAAUCAUUAAAUCAUUGAAAAGUUCAUACAUUUUUAGGUCGAGUGCGAUGAAGUACACACUCGCCCAGAAAACUUGUUUUGAAAAUCAUUGAAAGUACUUAACACGUUAUCAAACAAUAACACAAGUCAUGGAGUCAAGAAUAAUAUAGCAAACAAGGAACACUCACCUAUUUAAGCAAAAUAAAGUCCAAAGUUUCCUUCCGGCUACACCCUCAAUCACCAAGGUGUCCUAAUAUAAUCAAAUGAACACAUUAUAUACAUCAAUCAUCAAAGAUUUAGUGAUUCAAAGAAAAUUUGAAUGCGUACUAGUACAAGGUAUAAUAUAGUUUUGGUAGUGAAAAUAGUACAUUGAAAUCAAAGGACAUAAGUAUAAUAUUUGUAAAACUUAGACUCACUUGUAAAACUUUAAAAUCGCUAUUUGAGUCGAAGUGGUAAAUAAAACGUAAAUACCCGAAAUAGUUCACGUGGUAUUUGCUCUCAAACCUUACUCAAGUCGCAAGUAUAUCGACCUAGAUUUCGAGCAUAAAUUUGGGCAGCACGCCCUUUGUAUUUUCCUAUUUCCAGCCAUUUAUGGCUUCCUUAUUUUUCUCAUUCAAGCCCAAGUUUAUACACAACACAAAUGCAUUUCAAUAGCCGUUCCAUAGGCUCAAGACAAUACAAGGACAUAAAUCAACUAAUAACGAAUGCGGAAAUGAAGUUAACAAGAGACAGAAUUGAUGGGUUUUUGCGGAAAGAACACAUCUGAGGCUACGCUUAUCGGAUUGGUGUGCAACUUAUACCAUUUCAAAGCUAAGACGAAGUCCUACAACUUUUAUGAAGGUCACUUAGUCAAAUUUCCAGUGUAACCUGGUCAAAUUCCCAGUUUACAGAGCCAACUUCCAACUAUACGGCUAAUUAACCGCACUGCACUAGAAUGGUCAUAUCUCAGGCUACCAAGGUCCAUUUAAGGUGUUCUUAUAGGUGUUGAAAAGCUAAGACAGAGUACUAAAACUUUCAUAUUUUAGAAAAUGGUAAAUCAGCACGGAUCCUAAUGAAUAAACAUGAUAAACUGGAUGAACUGACUAAAACGGAACACUGGAAACAUCCUAAAAUAGUGAGGGUAUUUUGGCCUUUUCACAAGCUACGUUGCUCCGAUUGAGCUGAAAUUUUGUAGACACCAAUAAAAUACCAUUCUCUACAACUUUCAUGUUUUAUAAGAAGCCUAAUUCGGCCUCUAACAUGGUGUAAUAAAACCUGACAGAACAAGGCUGAAAUUUUCCAGAAAUCUGGGAAUUUUGGGAUUCAAUGAAACUUUCUUCAUUUCUUGCCUCAACCCACCACCACAACCUCCUAUAUAAGCUUAGAUUAUAUCAUCCAUAUAGCAAGUAUAGGCAGAAAUCAUCAAACCCUAACUUACAUAUAUCACCUUAAAAAUCAUCCCAACAACUUGUAUCCCAACUAAUCUAACCAAAACAUGAAUUAUAUAACAUCUUAAUCAAAAAUAAAAGAACCAAAGCUAUGGGUUAGACCUUAUACCUCAACAAAAGAAGCUUGCAAGAGUAAUACUUCACCUCCUCUUGGAAUUUUUGUUUCCCCUAGCUUCCCAAGGUCACAACUCACACUUUAAUCGGUUUAGAAUUUUGGUUCCUCACUUGGAUGGUGCAAAUCAAGAUGAAAUGGUCAAACUCUUGCUCUCUCUCUUGUCUCAGCCAAACCAGAAGAAAAUGAGGAAGAAUGAAGCUAAAUGGAAGAUAAAAAGGCAAGACAAUUGGUUUGGUCAAAGAGCCAUAGGUGUGUGACACUUGUCACCACCAAAGCCUUCCAAAUUUCUCUUUAUUUUCCUUGCAUUUUGGGCCACAUAUUUUGGUCACAUGGCUGAGGAUGGGGGGGGGAUAUUUUGUAAAAAUAUCAAGGGUAUGUGGUAGUAAGAAAGUGGUGGGUUCAAUCGGUAGUGAUCGAUACCCGUCGGUUCGCACCGUUUUUUCUUUAAACACACGUACUAGGGUUUUUACUUCCUAUUCACUAACCUUAUAUCAUUGCUUCUAAUCACAUAAUAUUUCUCACCUAAAAGUCACUUUUAAUCACCAAAUUUGAUCCUUGCUCCGUACCGAAAAAUUAUCCUACGAAAAAUCGCGAAAACCCUAAUUUGCUCCAAUCUUGAAACCGAAAAGUGAAACCCUACUUUCUAGGUUCAUUUGCACUUAUUGUGGAAUGGUUGGGUAGUAGGGCUAUAAUAAAUAAAUAAUUUCCAAAUAAAGGGCAUUUUUAAGAAAAACGUGAGGAAUUUUACAAUUCCAGUGAUUAAAAUUAGGGUUUCAAUUAAAAUAUGAGGGAUUGAAGAAAACCGGUUAGUCACAAGUAAACUAGGGUUUUUGAUUAAAAUUUUAGGGUUUCUAGUCUUUUUGAAACAAAAUAAGGUUUUAAAUCAAACCCAAAGAAAUACACUUUAGUAUCUUCUUUACAAACAACUUCCUAAUAUUUGGGGUGUCACAGAAGGCUUGAACGAAGACAAUCAAGUUAUCUACACCAUGAUCUAAGCCCACGAAGAGUCAAACGGGCCACCAAGAGAAUAAGGCCUUAGGCACCAUCAAUUAGUUAGCAAUUAGUUAAUGAUUAAGUAAGAGCAUGGGCCGGCCCAUCUUGUUCCAAGAGCAUGGGCCGACUUUUUCCUUUUCCUAGCCUUUAGGGUUUUAGUCACUUUAGCCUAUAAAUUGGCUUGCUUUGUAAGGUUUAAGGGUCAGAACUUUUAUCAAUAAAAUUCUCUUAUUUUCGUUCCUUCUUCAAAGAAGAGUGUUCGAGCCUUUCACUUGCUUUGGCAAGGGUUUUGAGCAAUCUUGCGUCUCGUCCUAGAUUGUUCUACCGACCUAUCCCGUGGAGUAGUCACCUUCAUUGGAGUCGUCGUCCUACCGUCUUGAAUCAAAUCGUGUCGUCCGUUUGAUUCUAGAUCCCGUAAUUCCAAGCAUUGGACAUCCUCGCUAGAUCCUUGGGCAAACGUGCUACGUGUCUCGAAACAAGUUCAUCGAGGAACGUAUCAGUUGGUAUCAGAGUUUAGGUUGAGGUAUCGUUCGUUAUAUCCUUAUUUUUUGUAGUUGUGUCGUAGGGUCUUUGUGUUUUGUCCGCUUCCUUGUUAAACAAAAAAAAAAAAAAAAAGUCAUUGUUUCACCGAUACUGUUCGCCGACACUGUUCAUCGUACUGUUCACCGACAAUGUUCAUAGUUACUGUUCAUCCGAAUACAAAUCUGUCCAGCCUUGUUGUUUGUGUUAUCCAACUUGUUUACUUGGUUUUCAAAUCUGGAUUUUGGCAAAACUUGUUGUAAUUUUGUGAAUCUUGAAGAGAACUUACAAUAAUCUUGAGCUUCUUGAAUUCUUGACCACAAUCUUGAAAUUUCUGAAGUUCCUGACAACUUCCUUGAAAGUUCUUGAAAGAUCUUAGAGUUCUUGGUAGUUAUUAUUUGUGGACUUCCUUGUUUUGUGUCGUGGUUGAUAGUUGUAGUCAAGAAAAAAAAAUAGAAAACGAAAACAAAAAAAAAAGAAAAGAAAAGAGGAAUGGGUUGGCAAGAAAAAAAAAGGAAAGGAAAGAAAGGGGCAACCGAAUUGUUUUGAAUAGGGAACCAAAUCUGAUUUGUGCAAUCUUUCUUGGAAUAGAAUUUGGAAGUUACCAAAAGUUGUUUCAAGAAGAUUACCAAAGGUUGUUUCAAAAAGGUUACCAAAAGUUGUUUCAAGAAGGUUACCAAAAGUUGUUCAAGAGGAAAAGGAUUUUCAAAAGGUUUCCAAAAACUAACUUGUUUCCAAAUCAAUUAGGAAACUAAGUAAAGCACUUGGAUAACUCUUUGUACUCACUUGGACACUCUCUCUCUUACCUUUUUAGGAAACUUUCCCAAACUCUCUCAUCCAUUUUUUUUGGAAACUUUCCUAAAUUCUCUCAUCCAUUUUUUAGGAAACUUUCCUAAACCCUCUCAUCCAUUUUUUUGGAUACUUUCCUAAAUUCUCUCAUCCAUUUUUAGGAAACUUUCCUAAAUUCUCUCAUCCAUUUUUAGGAAACUCUCUUAAAAUUCUCUCAUCCAUUUUUAGGACCUUUCCUAUAUUCUCUCAUCCACUUUAGGAAACUCUCCUAGAUUUUAGGAACACUCUCCUACACUUUCUCCUAUAUUUUCUCCUAUAUUUUCUCCUAGUUUUUAGGAACACUUCCCUACACUUUCUCCUACAUCUCCGUGAUUACUCUUGAGGAAGAAGUUGGUGACAAUUAUUUGGACUUGAGCAGCAUUUCUCAAACUACCUAACCCAACAGGUAAAGGUGUUUGGUAAGUCCAUUGGAGAGCUUUAGAAUGACAUCCAUAUACACGAGUACGAGUGGAUACAUGUAAGGGAGCGUGAAAGGCAAUAUCUUCGGUUUCGUUGCUAACUUUUUGCAGGUUCCCUCAUACGUCAUGGCGAAUACAAGACGCAUAAAAGCUAGCCCACAACAUUGUCUUCCUGAUCCUAAGGGAGUCAAAGAAGUGGCAUUACGUGGUGUAGAUGAGCAAUUGGACCUCGUCAAAUCUCAGUUGCUUGGUUGGUUUUAUACCCGUUGUGGUGUCAAAGAUAAAAUUUGUAGCUUGGCCAUUGAUAGGAGUUGUGAAGUCAACCUUGCAAGUGCUAUAAUGGUUGAGAAAUUAAAUCUUCCAACGAUUGAUCAUCUUCAACCAUACAAGUUGACGAGCACUUAUGGUGCUGUUUGGGUUACUAAACAUAGUUAAAUAUGACGAUAUACUAAUAAGUAUUCCUUCUUAUUUAAUAGUCGUCGCUUGCAGCUUGUAUCACUUAACUUAUGACCAACUUUGUAUUGAUCUAGCAUGCAUGAAAAGUGAGGCUUGAGCGUUAUAGAAAUGGAGAAAAGCUAGAUGAGGGAAUUUGGUGCCUUAGAGGUAAAACGCCGAGGGAGUUGAAAAGUAAUGAGAUUGAAAGGGCCAGCUGUUGAAACUAGAAAAAGAGAUGGAAAAAUCUAAUGAGAUGGUGGUAAUAAGGAAGAAAAAAGAGAAAGUGGCUGAUCUUUGAGGCAACCCAGUGAAGGCCUAUUAUUUUCUUAACGAACUUACCUUUGCUUUGUUUAGUGUUUCUUCUUUUAUACAGAUCAAGCAAAGGCAAGUUGAGCUGAUCUUGGUGUGUUCCAUUCCAAAAUCAAUUGUAGACGUUGCAAGCCUCCAUGGAGUUGGUACUCCAAGAGUUAAACCCUGUUGGUACCCAUUCAUGGAACAAUGUCAACUCAAAUCAGUCCACACCAAAGGGGAGUUGAUUCGAGCUCGUCUUGAAGGGAACACUCCACAUUUUGGGGAUGGUUGUGUACCAAGGGUUCGUUUAAAGAACAAGUACCUCAAUGACCAUUAUGAUUUUUGUCUUGCUCUUAGUCCACAUGGAGCUCCAACAUCACCAAAUCCGCCUUGGUGCCUUGCAAGUGUGUUCGAGCCCGAGUUCGAAUUAUGGGAUACACUUCAUACCACUUUGAGGACCCUUACCUCAUGACCACAAACGAUCAAGUUAAGCAUACAUUGAAGAUGGUUUGUGAGAUUCAAGGUUCGACAAGGAUUAUUUUCCAACUUAGCACAUGGGCUUUGAAUUGGAUGCCAUUUGUAGCCAUCAUAACAAGAUUGAGUCGAAGGCAUGUAACUCGUCUUGUCACCAUUCAUGCUUCAAUUUGUGGGCAAAUUGCUUCCAAGAGGAGGGGAAUGAUACGAACAAGAGGAGCCACUGGAGUAAAGCCAUGAGUUUUUCUAGGCUGGUUGUGAGCAUUUUUCAAACUAACCAAGAAACAUGUAAGUCAAUCUGUGGUAGGGUUCGAUUUGAGGAUUCAGACUACCAACCCUUGUUCGUGUCAUUCAUUUCCAUCCAGAUUUGAGGACAAAUCCUUCUCAAGUGGAGGGGACUGAUGUGUGCACGGACCUUAGCCCAAGUAAUGACCCAGUCCGAGUUCCAUUGGGCCCAGUCACACAUGCACGAGCCAAGCUCUUCAAAGAAUCCCUCCAAGCCUUUGUUCAAAUUGUCCAAGACCAACAUGGAGUCCAUAGAGAUAUUGAAGGCUUGGACGGAGACAAUCAAGUUAUCUACACCAUGAUCCAAGCCCACGAAGAGUCAAGCGGGCCACCAAGAGAAUAAGGCCUUAGGCCCCAUCAAUUAGUUAAUGAUUAAGUAAGAGCAUGGGCCGGCCCAUCUUGUUCCAAGAGAAUGGGCCGACUUUUUCCUUUUCCUAGCCUUUAGGGUUUUAGUCACUUUAGCCUAUAAAUAGGCCUGCUUUGUAAGGUUUAAGGGUCAGAACUUUUAUCAAUAAAAUUGUCUUAUUUUCGUUCCUUCUUCUAAGAAGAGUGUUCGAGCCUUUUACUUGCUUUGGCAAGGGUUUUGAGCAAUCUUGCGUUUCGUUCUAGAUUGUUCUACCGACCUAUCCCUUGGAGUAGUCACAUUCAUUGGAGUCGUCAUCCUACCGUCUAGAAUCAAAUCGUGUCGUCCGUUUGGUUCUAGAUUCCGUAAUUCCAAGCGUUGGACAUCCUCGCUAGAUCCUUGGGCAAACGUGCUACGUGUCUCGAAACAAGUUGAUCGAGGAACGUAUCAACUAAGGCCUAAUCGGCCCAUGGCCGCUUGGCUCUUCACGGGCUCUCUUUGCGGGCUUGGAUCAUCGUGUAGAAAACUGGGUUAUCACCUUCCAAGCCUUCAAUGUCUCGAUGAACCCCUUGUUGGUCUUGAACAUUCCGCACAAGGGCUUGGAGUGAUUCCUUGAAUUGCUUAGCCCGUUGAUGCGGUGGAGCACGAGGCCCAAAGUGUACAAGUAGACCCUGUGAAGGUGCCCCAAGGCACAGUGACACGAGCACGAGCUAAGAGAUUCAAGGAGUCCCUCCAAGCCUUGGUACGUGCUAUCCAAAACCAAGAGAAACCGAGCAUUGAAGGGAUUGAGUUGGAAUAUCCUUGCACGACUACUAAAAUGCUGCUUACAAUUGAAGAUGCGAGUGUUCAAGCUCCAAACGGCGUGCUGAGCCCCGAAGCUUAUGAUCUAUAGUUAGUUGGGCUAGCUUUCGGUCAAGUAUAGGCCCAAGGGGCUGGCCGAACUUUCCUUGUUAUUUUUCCAGUUUAUUAGGUCUUAGUUACGGCUAUUAAUAGCCUCAAACCGCAUGUUACAUUCAGUUUUUUGAGAGUAUUGAAUAAAAUUUCCAGAAUUUCGUCCAUUCCUUGUGGCAAAUUCCCUUAGCUUGUGAAAGCUAAGUUGAACAUCCUAGAGUCGAUCCUAGGCUGUUCUUGACUUAUCAAUCAAGCACACAUACUUGAUUGUGGCGUCCUCUACCGUUAAAUCUGUUCUUGAGUGGUCCAAGUUCGGGUUCAACUCCAUCAAAUCUUCAUCGUGUUCCUCUAGAUCCGAAGUAGCUUCCGCGUCUCGCAUCAGCUGGCAUCAGAGCUAGUUAGAGGUAUCACGAAUAUCUUUUUUUAUCGUUUUUAGAUCUAUUUUAGUCUUCUAAAUUCGUAGCUCAAGUGCUCGGGUUUGUCAAGUCCGAAAUCUGUCUUUGUUGUUUCCUUGUCAGAAAUCUGUCUUGGUUGUUUCCUUGUCAGAAAUCUGUCUUUGUUGUUUAGUUGUUGUCCGAAAUUUUCUGUCCAGUUUUGUCUUGUGUUUAUGUUCUGUUUAAAUCCAGAAAAAAAAAUCUCUUGUGUUGCAUACCUUAUUGUCAUUCCCUUGAGUCGUUGCUGGAAUUAAUUACUGGGUUGCCGAAUCUGUUUGCACUUGUUUCUUGAACCUUUGUGUUGUUGCUUUGCAAAACUCGAACAUCAAAACCUUAUUGGGGAAGUCUUGAGCUUCUUGGAUCAAAGAGGUUAAUCUUGGCAGUCUUGAAACCUGAAAUAAACCUUCAACCGUGUUCUUGUUUUCAUGGAACUUUGAUCUUGAAACCAAAUCUGUCCAAGUUGUUUACGUUAAUUGCUGUGAAAUUGUGGUCUAAACUAGCUGGCUAUUGUGUGAAAACACCCCAACAGAAGU